UUUUGCUUUUUUUCCUCUCUCUAGCCGCUAGCUUGAUCUUUAUACUUGCUUAAUGCGGCAUGAAUGCCAAUAACACAGCAACAUCUCUCAGGGAAGAUCCCCAUCUUGCAAGGCUGCCGGUCUCUAUCAUAGAAUCGUGGUAUAAUCGUAAAGGUUACGUUGAAGCCAUGGCAACCCAGAUUGAGAAGGAGCUCAUAAAUUUCUCCAGCCCUGAAGAGGUAUGGCGCCCCUCCCAUUUGGCCAUCCUUAUCGCACCAAGCCUUCAGGGCACCAUGCGCGGCCACUCCAAGCUCGAUCCUUGCGGGCAUCAUGAAAAAUGAUUCGAUUCAAUGGGAAUUCACGUGAUUGUUCCAACAUGUCAUUUCCAUAAUUGCACAUCUGAAAAUGCCCGCAGGUUUUUCUUAUUGGAUUCUUGUGGGCCAUGCCAGGUCAUGAUAUUCUUCAGUGCACACGGGGUCCCACUCAGUUAUGUCAAAGAUGCGGGAGAUCCGUACAAAGAACAGAUGGAGGAAUGCAUCAGUCUGAUCAUGGAGGAGCUGAGAUCCAGAGGAGUUGACAAUCCCCACAUUCUUGCCUACCAGGUACUGGGUUCGAGUUUUUUUCUAGUAAUUUUUCUACAGUUCGUUGACCGCCUUUCCUUCACCAUUCCCGACCCUCUUUCUCUAUCAUCCAACUCGUUGACUCCUGCGACUCUCCAAAACCAGAGCCGAGUUGGGCCAGUGCAGUGGCUGAAGCCGUACACGGAUGAAGUCAUCGUGGAGCUGGGCCAGCAAGGGACUAAAAGCCUUCUGGCGGUGCCAGUGAGGUACGCCGCCCUCUGCCAGCUCAUCCGCCUCAAAUGUCAACGCCAAACAUUUAGGGAGAAGCCCACUAAAGAAGUCAAACCCUGCGUUUUUCUCUGCCAGCUUUGUGAGCGAGCACAUCGAAACCUUGGAGGAGAUCGACAUGGAGUACAGGGAAUUGGCCUUGGAGUCGGGAAUCGAGAACUGGGGCAGAGUGCCCACGCUCGGCUGCAACUCCUCCUUCAUCGCAGAUCUGGCCGACGCCGUGAUAGAAGCCCUCCCAUCCGCCUCAGCAGUCGCCGCCUCCAAGAACCCUGGAACAGGAACCGACGCAGACCCAGCUCAGAGAGCGAUCAGCGUGUUCUUCGGCUCGCUCUUCGCCUUCAUCCUGCUCCUGGCGCCGAAGUUUCUUCUAGCAAUGAGAAGCGCUGUCCGCUAGCUGGUCUUGCAGCUCCCAGGCGGCCAUGAGAGCAGAACCACAGCAACAGGUCUGUCUGAAACCACUUUCUGACCCAUACCCACUAGCGCUCACAUAAUACAGCAAGAAGAUUGUAGCAAAACGGAUGAGAAUAUUCUUUCUACGGGAUCAUGAGCCCUUCUUGUAUGAGCUCUGAUUCUACCCAGUGUUCUUGUUCUUCAAUGGAUGGUGUUUGAGAGCUUCUCGCGCAAGAAAAUCACAGAAACUGGGAGCCCAUGAGAGAUCCUCGCUGAAGGAUGCAUGAGAGGGUGAUUACAGCGCGGCCUCUGUGGGGGGCUCAAUGGAGUGAGAGAGAGAGAGAGAGAGAGAGAGCUUCUAUUCAUCACGAGCAUCGCCUUCGUCCUCGUUCUCUUCCGCAUCAUCCACGCCUUCCCCGCCAUCUGCCUCCCCGUUCUUUGCCGCCGCCGCAUCGCCCUCCGCCUUCCGUUUCCUCUCCCGCGGUUUCGAUUCAGCUUUCUUCGCCGCGUUUUUUCUUCGGAAAUCUGGAGAAGAACGCAUCAUGGAGGCCGAGAAUGGCCGAGAACUCGCUGUUCCGCGGUGUCUUUUGGGCCACGAACGCUGGAGAAUAUCAGAGGCGUCGUCCCAGAUGCGUACCUUCUAAGGACACUCUGAGGGGCUCGAUGAACUCGGGGAACUCGAUCUCCUCGAGCGCCUUGAACACGUCCUCCGCGCUGAUUAUUUGCCUCUUCGAUUCCUUGCAGAUGUCGUUCGCCCUGCGAGAAGUGAGAGAUCAGAGGAACCGCCACGGGGAUCAACGAUGAUCUGGGACACGAGAGAGAGCAGAUUCUAAGAUGAAACCAGGAAGAAGAAGAAGAAGAAGAAGAAAUUCAUGGAUUCUGGGAAAGGUUUCCUCUAAUUCCGGAGGGUUCCCAAGGUUUCCGUCUGCAUUCCGUCUCGAAGGGCCCCAUUUCUUACCCCGAUUCUAGGGAAGAAGACACUGCGAGAUCAGACGACAGAGGUACGCACGGAUGAGAGGGGAUGAGAACGGCGACCGUACGUUGCAGAGAGGUAGUGGAUGAAGAUGCGGGCGCUCUCAGAGAAGGCGAGGAGAGCUUCCUUGUGGACAUUCAUCCCGUCUCCGUCCCUGUCCCCUCCCCUCUCUUCUCCGGCGCCCUCUCCUCUCCCCACGCCGCGAGACGACGAGGAAGAAGAGGAAGCCAGCCGGGACAGCUUAUCCUUGACGAUUCUCCGGACGAUGGUCCUCGGCAGCUCCUCCACCACAGCCCCCGGCCCCUCCUCUCCCUUCUUCGCCAUCGCCCUCAAGCUGCUCUCUCCCUCUCCCUCUCUCCGACGCCUGCAAGCCCUAAUAAAACCCUCCUCUCCUCUUCGUCCUCUUCUUCGUCCUGGCAGAGGAGAGGACACAAAAACCGCACCGCUUUUUAAAAUUGCAUUGCAGGGAGGACAUACAGUACCGGGAGAGAGAAAGAGAGAGGAGAGGAGAGAGAGAGAGCGANNNNNNNNNNNNNNNNNNNNNNNNNNNNNNNNNNNNNNNNNNNNNNNNNNNNNNNNNNNNNNNNNNNNNNNNNNNNNNNNNNNNNNNNNNNNNNNNNNNNNNNNNNNNNNNNNNNNNNNNNNNNNNNNNNNNNNNNNNNNNNNNNNNNNNNNNNNNNNNNNNNNNNNNNNNNNNNNNNNNNNNNNNNNNNNNNNNNNNNNNNNNNNNNNNNNNNNNNNNNNNNNNNNNNNNNNNNNNNNNNNNNNNNNNNNNNNNNNNNNNNNNNNNNNNNNNNNNNNNNNNNNNNNNNNNNNNNNNNNNNNGAGAGAGAGAGAGAGAGAGAGAGAGAGAGAGAGAGAGAGAGAGAGAGAGAGGAGAGAGAGAGAGAGUUUCCCCGCUUGAUUCGAUCAAACCUUGGCAACUUCAUCAAAUCUAUCUAAAUGCUUCAUGAGACUGAUGGGAUAUGUUCCCACUGUUCUUGAUCGAAAUCAGUCAGUCCCGCAUUUAUCUUUUCUCCUCGAUGAAAAAAAAUAUAAUCGUAAUCGACGGAGAAGGGGAUCCCGAGUUCAUCCUCCUCGGUGUCCUCCAUUGGCGUCGUCCAGAGCAUGAUUGUAGCAGAGCUAUUAGAACACUUUCUCCUCAACUGUAGAACAUAUAAUCCAUAAAUAGAUAAACUAGUGCGAUCACGAGCAAGGAGGAUCAUUAAUUAAUGAGAUUGUUUCGUCGUCACAGUUGAUCAUUGAUCAUCAAAGAUAUGAAAUUGAAAUUGAAUUUGGGCGUUUGGAUCGCCCAAUUGGUUUCCUAAUAAUUUUAAUAACAUCGGCAGACAUGGGAAUCAUUUGCCGCUAUUCGGUGAAAAACAAAUGGAAGUAGGGCCCUUGUUCUCUGCCUAAUGAUAUCUCAUCAACUUCGCGUGCUUCUAAUAUAGAUAGGAGGAAUAUGAUGGUUUAAUUAUUUUUGGUAUUUAAAAAAGAAAUUAAAAAUCAAUUUUGAUGAGAAAUAUGUUCUUCUCAUGCCAUUGAUUAGAUAAAGAUACACAUUAUUAGAUCAAAAUUUAUUUCUUGUUUGAGUAUGGUUUUAAGAUAUGAACCGACAAAAAUAAUCAUCCAAUAAGUGGUCCAAAUGAAGAAAAGUGAAUUAACAAGAAAAAAAGAUAUUUUAGGGAGAAAAUUACCAGAAAAACACUGGUGAUUUGACACAUAAGUAAACCCUAGGACAAGUCAACAACAAAUGAAUCAACUCAAGAGAAAAUAAACAUUUCUCUUUGAAAUCAGAUACUGCAUGGAAUCUGACGUUAAACAUGUGCUAGAACAUAACUUUCUGCACAUACACAUGACAACAUAAAAUUAGAAACAAAGUGGUCAUAAAAUCAGAUAAUCAAAAAUAAAAAACAAAGUACACUAAAAAGAAAAGUACUCUACAAGAUGAGUUAGGGUGAACUCAACAAAUAUUUAACUUAUCAAAUCUCACUCAUUUACAUGUAGUGGUCAGGUCCUUACUUUCCAUAAUUAGCUCAUCUUGUCAUAUUCAAAGUAACAAAUCCAUAUUGUAUUAACUCAAUUAGUUCACGCCCCCAAAGAAACUCAAUUUAUAAUGUGUAGAGAUAGUUUUGCAAUGCUUAAGCUUCUGAAAGCUUCCAAAUGUCUAUUUGAUCGAGGGAUCACUUCUUUUAGUUGUGAAGAUAAUAUGUAAGUUAACCAUUUCACAUCUUUAUAUAAUGUGGUACUUAGAGGAUGUUAGUAAUAAGGAAAAUACAAGCUAGUUCUUUUGUGUUUGGCAUGGGGGGAGAGACUCAAUAAGAGGCGUUGUUGAACUCAUUAGUUUAGAAAGCAUUUUGUUACAUAGAAUAUUGGAAAUCAUUGGUAAUAUACCUAGUAAGUAGACGUAGGCAAAAGGAAUGUUGAACCACCAUAAAAGAUAAUGUAUUUUUUGUCAUUCGUUGGCAAGUGAGUUGCUUGAAUAUGCUUUAUUAUGUUGGACUAAUGAUUUAGAAAAGUUUCAUAGAUAAAAAUGGCCAUCAAAUAAGAAACAAUGCACUAAAGGGGAAAAACAUUCAAACAUAUUAACAACAUUUGAAAAUGCUUAAUUAUGUUGCCAAUACUCUAAAAUGAUUUGGACAUUUUUCAAGAAUAUGGAAUGUUGUCAAAUCGCAUAGUAAGAAAAAGUCAUUCAAUGGUAGAAAUCAACAUCUCACCUCAAGCAUUCAAAGUUUUUCUCUAUAUAAGAUUAUGCUUCCAUAUAUCUAAGCAAAGAAAUUAAAGACAUAUUAGCCAUGUGCUUAAUUAUAAGUAAUAUGUUAUUCUUGUAUUAUAAUUGAUUCGCAAUUGGUUACUUUUAGUAUGUGGACCAACUUAUAACUCGAAGUCUAGAAGAAAUUAGUUACAUUUUAGUGUAGUUGGUAUCUUAAAGUAGUAAAUCUAAAAGAGAUUAGUUAUGUACUAAUCUACAUCUCAAAGAUGUGAAUCUAGAAAUUAUCUCUUAGGUACUAACCUAGUUGACCUCCUAUUGCUGUGAAUUUAGAAGUAGUGUUCUUAUAAAACACUUGGGGUUACAUGGAGUUAUAAAAUCAAGGAGAUAAACUAAAUCGCAAUUUUUUCUACUUCAAUUUAGUGGAGCAUUGGGACUAGAACCUUAGACAGUGGAGCAACCCAAGUGGGCUGAACCAUUGUAAUCCUUUGGGUUUCAUAAUUUGAGUGAAAAAUUAGAAAUGUCAGGUAUGAUUUCAAAAAGACUAAUUCGACUCCUCUUGAUUUCUCUCGUAGCCUUUUCAAACCUAACAAUACCGACACAUUAAAAUUGAUAUAUUUGAAUAUUACACAGUGUAACUCAUCAUAUACUCACAUAUUCGAUGCAGUUCUCACCACCUAAUUGGAGCCAUUGCACGAUGAAUUAUAAUUGAGUGGAAGGAUGGAAACUUGGCUUUGAUACUAGAUUAAUGAGACCUUUAUUUCAUAAAAAUAUUCAAUAGUAGAUGAAUAGUGAUAAUGACAUAAUUAUGGCAUGCGAAUGACCUAAGUCGGGGGAGAGAUAAAAUCUCAUUGAUAAGGUAUUGUGAAUGUAACACAAAUGACGAUGAUGAUAAAUAAAGUAUUUAUCCUUUCAGCAGAUACUCUUACAACUUUUUAACGCCUGGAAAAAAGGGGGGAGCACAUUAUUCAAAUAUUAGAUUUUGAACGCAUGAAUCAAAGAAAAACUUGACGAGAAAACACUCAUCGAAGACUAGUCAGUUCAAGAGUAAGUAGAAAAGGAAGAGAAUUAGAGAGAGAAACACAAUAAGGGUUUUUCGAGUGCCCUAACACUCCAAAAUCAACUUCUUGGCUUUUUCUUUGUAUACGCGGGAAAGAAGCUUCUUCUUCAAAUAUCACUGAGUUCAUAUUCUCCAGCAGUUCACAUUCUGUUUGCAUAAGUUGCAGCCGUGUUCUUAAGGUGACCGAGUUCCACGAAGUUGUUGUUGACUUCAUUGCAAAGAAGAAUUGGUUUCAUGUGCUGCUGUAAAUGUUGGCGAUACUCAGAUGGUGCUAUUGGUGGUAUACAGAGGAACGUUUUUUAGCUGUUGGAUUUGGGUCUUGAUCCAGGGGAUCCAUCAGUGAGUUGUUCCAGUCAAACUUUCCUAACGUUUAAUGGUAAAUGUUUUGCCGUGUGUGCAAUCAUGGGAGGACCACAUAAUCUUGUUGACCUCUCUCUCUCUCUCUCUAUAUAUAUCUCUCUCUCUCCUGCCACACAUAGAUUUGUGUUUUAUACAGGCCUCGUUAUCCACGAAAGGUAUGGCUCGAUAAGAGAAGAACCCAUGAUUGAUCUUCGAUUUUAUCACAACUUGGCCUAAUCGAUUAUUAUAAAAGAUGUUCUGUCGAAAAUGUUCAAUCCUAAUAUUUUUACCCAUUCAUUCCUAUUUCAGAGCACAGAGAUGAGAAAAAAAUUGAUUUGUAUUUUCUAACUUUUUGCCGAAGAUCGUUUGAAUAGAAAAAAAAAAUUGUUCUCGUUCUCUUUCGUGUACAAGAUGGGGGGGAUGUGAAGAGUGAGGCCGUCAAAAAAUCGUUUCUAAUCCUUGCGUAUGGUUUUUUUCUCUAUCCAUGGAUCACUUGCAGGCAUAUGAAGCCUGAAGCUGAGGCGGAAUGCAGGGGGAGUCCUUCCAGAUCCUCGCGUGCAAUCUAAGGAUUUCCUUUGUCUUCUCCUUCGUCUUGCUCCCGCAAUCCAGCUGCAGGAGCAGGCAUAGCUUGGAGACGACGCCGACAUGCAGCAUCUCCUGAACCACCGCCGGGGCCCCCGAGAACUUGGCGACGGAGUAGAGCACCUUCACCGCCAGCUCCGUCGCAAGUGGAGAAACCCUAAGUAUCUUCUUAGACACCAAGGCGAUCCCCGCCGGAUGCCUCGCCAGCUCCGCCCUCCCCUCGGCGCAGCCGCACAGCUGGUCGAGCACAACCAUCGCGAUCUCGCACACCUUCCCGUCGUGCUCAUCGAGCAGGAGCUCCAGAAUAGCUCCAACGCCGCCGGCCUUGGUGACCUUGGCACGGUUCCUUCCCCAGCCGCUCAGCUGGGACAGGACCCGCAGCGCCGCCUUGCUGGCCUUGAGGGAGAUCUGGUCAUUGACAAUCCUCAUCAGCUCCUCGAAGAUUUCUUUCUUCAGGUUGACCAGCUGGGACAGCGAUAGGGCUUGUGUGAUGGACUGCAGGAGGAAGACGGCGUAGACGCGGGCCUGGUAACUCGGGCUGCGGAGAACCUCGGUGAAAAUUUCCACGAGAUCGCCGUUGCGCUCGACCAGCUCGGAGAACCCCUGCGGAGAGACCUGGACGGUGUGAAGGAUAGUCAACGCUUCCUCCACAACGCUGUCGCUGGUCGAUCCUGUGCAGCCAUCAACGGUGGCCGAUGCGGCGGCGCGUCUCCUGAUGAUGGAGACGAGAACAUGGGGGGCGCCUUCGGACUCGGCGGUGCGCCUGUUCCGCUCGCUCUCGCCGACGAUGGACCGGAGCUUGCGGAGGGCGGCGAGCUGGGUCGGCGCCGCCGCCGCCGUGGACUCUUCGAGGAGCUGGGCCAUCUGAGCCCUGCUGACGGGAGCUCGCGGGGUGGGAAAUCUCUCAAAGCCGCUGGCCGCAUUGGCGACGCACCAUCCCUGAAUCAGGCGGCGGAGGGUGUGGUUGGGGAUGAUCUCAGUGUCUGGAAGUGGCUGCUUGGUCAUGGGGCAGGUGGCCUCCUUCUCGCCGGCGAAGACCCACCUCUCGAUGUUCUCCCGAUCGUAGGUGACCCCGGUGGAGAUCGUGACGGGAUCCCUCAUAAUCUGGAGGGAUAUCGGGCAGAGGAAGUAGCUCGGGAUGUCGAUUCCCUUCUCCUCCAUCGCCGGCGAGAUCUCUCUUCUCAGGAACUCAAGAGGGGCUCAGAGAGAAGAAGAGGAGACGCUGCGGCGGAUGAUUUGGGGGAGUAGACAAAUGGGCUGUGCUUAAAAAAGGGGGGGGGGUAGGGAGGAAGAAGGGGAUACGGGUCAAACACGCAGAAGUCAACGCGGCAGAGAGAGAGAGAGAGAGAGCCCCGCUGGAACUCCACCGGUGCAACUCGGCGGAGUUUGACGCGGAAUAAUGUGGGGGGCUUUCACACGCUUGUUACGCUUCGCGUUGCUGACCAGUCAGAGAAAUUCGGUGACCAUAACCAUCCGAAGGGCGCUAAAUGACAAGAAGUUUCCAUUUUUAUCCCCUCUCCCAUGGCGGCGGUGACUACACCGAGCACAUUCCGGAUCCCACGGCCGACGUCCGCUCUUCUCUCAACUUCCUGAGUUAUGCGGGCGGCUCUUUGACAUUUCCUGGCGCGUCACAUCGAAGAUGAAAAUUUCAUUUGAGCGCGUCGACUUUACAGCCUCACCCCAGCUAACCCUCUCUCUCUCUCUCUCUCAUGAAAACUACACGUUUUAAUUUGACCCAAUUGGCGCCAACAUCUCUGUCAACAGUCAAUCACUCACAUGUGGCUUGUGGAACUCGGCACAAGGCCAGUCGACCCUCAGCAGUCAACUUACAGACUUCCCAUCCGCCGCUUAUAAAUUCGGAGAUCGGUCCAGCCUAACGGUCCAACCCAUAGCCGUCAGAUAAUUAAAUGCCCGUCACACAGGCCUCAGCGGAUCCCUGCGAGCACGAGAGGCGGGGAGAAGAUCAGCACAAGCUGCGCAGUCUUCGUCGUCGGUGCGGGCAGAAGAUGGAAAACAAUGAAAAAGACCGGCGCAUUAAUUUAUGAACAAUUUCUAAGCUAAAAAGUCGACUUAUUUGCAUCAUAAUUCCUUGAGAUCAUGGUUACGUAGUCCACUCUCUCCCUCUCUCUCUCCUCUCUCUACAUAUAUAUGUAUAUAUAUAUAUAUGCACAGGUAUAUCGUCUUUAACUAGUCGAGUAGGGUACGGCCUCUACUAGUGUGUGGGGGACCGGGAAGGUACGCCCUCAGCAUGCAGCUCUCUCUCUCUCUCUCUCUCUCUCUCGUCAUCAAGGCGAAGAGUACUCCCUAAAAACGAGCGAUUGAGCAAGCGAGAGAUGAGAGAGAGAGAGAGAGAGAGAGAGAGAGAGAGAGAGAUGGAAACCGGAAUGAGCAGUGCCUUCUCCCUUUCCUCCCUAUCUGCUCUGCCCGAGUUCGGAACGCCCGUUCCCGUUGGUAGUCGAUGGCCUUCUUGCUUAGACGAACGACUGGGGGAAGCCGGUGAUUCUCAUGCAAGUGGGAGGCAGAAUACUAACAUUGUGACAUACUUCUCCGACAAUCUUCUACAGGAAGGAAUCGAUGGCGAUGGUUCCUUCUCUCUAUGAUCCGAACCCACGAUUCGUUCCAUUACUCUGAUUCGAAUUAUUUAACGAUGUGGCUCGGAAUUUUCAGUGAGAGGGGACAAAGACGACUACUACUAUCGAAAAGCUUCGUAGCUCGGCAUGGUGAAGGGACUCAGCUGUGGCAGAGGCAGAGGCUGAUCUUCCUCCGUGGCUCCCGUCUUUAAGCUCUGGGGGCGCUGCCAGGGACAAGAACCUUCAACUGUUGGAGAACCAGACCAGAAUACCUCUUCGUACGCGAGCUCCUCCGCCGGCGGCAUCGCGCCAAGGGAGUCUACAGAGAACGGCGAGAGGUUGUCGAGCAGCAGGGUCUCCUCCGCCGUCACAUCCGGCGACGGCCAGGGGAAUUCCUCUCCGGCGGGCGGUUGUUCUUGUCCCAUUUGCGUUGACAUCUGUUGAUAGUAGCUGCCCACAUUAGUCCUGCCGAGGAGACGGCCAACUUCGAACUCUACCUCCGUGAAGGCUAGCUUGGGAGCGUCAGAGCCGCCGGAUGGGCAUUCCACCGGAGGCAAGGACACGGCGGCGGGGGGCUCGUUCCGGACCGGAGGACUAGAGUGCGGCCGGCCGGCUGGAGGCUUGGGCCUGCUCUUCCUACGGGUAGUGCCGCCGAUUGGAACGUUGCGGAGGGCGCCGCCCUCUGUCCAGUACCUCCGGCAGGCCUUGCAGAAGUAGCGCGGUUGCGCGAGGCUGUAAUUGUUGUAGUAACAGAACUUGGUGUUCGAGGACUCGCACCGGGGGCAGCUUGGCGCCCAGACCACCGCGGGGUUCCACCUCCUCUCCGCCAUGGACGGCGCCGGACUGUGCAAGAAGUAGGAGUAGGGCUCCAUCCCUCUCCGUCGAGGAAGUCCGCAUGGGGGAGCCACCGGCGACGAGUGGCAGACGCAGCGAUGGACUCGCCCCAUAUUUAUGAACAAAACGGUUAGAUAGGUAGCGAGAGAGAGAGAGAGAGAGAGAGAGAGAGAGAGANNNNNNNNNNNNNNNNNNNNNNNNNNNNNNNNNNNNNNNNNNNNNNNNNNNNNNNNNNNNNNNNNNNNNNNNNNNNNNNNNNNNNNNNNNNNNNNNNNNNNNNNNNNNNNNNNNNNNNNNNNNNNNNNNNNNNNNNNNNNNNNNNNNNNNNNNNNNNNNNNNNNNNNNNNNNNNNNNNNNNNNNNNNNNNNNNNNNNNNNNNNNNNNNNNNNNNNNNNNNNNNNNNNNNNNNNNNNNNNNNNNNNNNNNNNNNNNNNNNNNNNNNNNNNNNNNNNNNNNNNNNNNNNNNNNNNNNNNNNNNNNNNNNNNNNNNNNNNNNNNNNNNNNNNNNNNNNNNNNNNNNNNNNNNNNNNNNNNNNNNNNNNNNNNNNNNNNNNNNNNNNNNNNNNNNNNNNNNNNNNNNNNNNNNNNNNNNNNNNNNNNNNNNNNNNNNNNNNNNNNNNNNNNNNNNNNNNNNNNNNNNNNNNNNNNNNNNNNNNNNNNNNNNNNNNNNNNNNNNNNNNNNNNNNNNNNNNNNNNNNNNNNNNNNNNNNNNNNNNNNNNNNNNNNNNNNNNNNNNNNNNNNNNNNNNNNNNNNNNNNNNNNNNNNNNNNNNNNNNNNNNNNNNNNNNNNNNNNNNNNNNNNNNNNNNNNNNNNNNNNNNNNNNNNNNNNNNNNNNNNNNNNNNNNNNNNNNNNNNNNNNNNNNNNNNNNNNNNNNNNNNNNNNNNNNNNNNNNNNNNNNNNNNNNNNNNNNNNNNNNNNNNNNNNNNNNNNNNNNNNNNNNNNNNNNNNNNNNNNNNNNNNNNNNNNNNNGUAAGAAGAAGAAGAAGAAGAAGAAGAAGAAGAAGAAGAAGAAGAAGAAGAAGACGAGGAGGAGGAAUAGAAAGAAGAAGACGAGGAUUAAGAAGAGGAAGAGAACGCGUAUGUAUAGGAAGAAGAAGAAGAUGAGGAGGACGAAGAAGAAGAAGAGGAGAGGAUAAGAAAACGAGUUGGAAGAAGGAGAAAAUAGGGUUCUGUGGGGAAGAGAGGGGAGAGAGAAGUGAGGAGCCGAGAGCCUGAGAGGUAAGCCACAAGCUGGGGAGGGGUGGAGAGAUUAAUAUACCCCGGCAUAAUAUACGGAAGAGAAGGUGCGAGCGCCAUUGAAUUGGCGCCCAGGGGGUUGGUUACUUGUGUGGCGCGAUAUGUGAGGUCCGACGCGUAGGACGAAGAAAAACCUGCCCGAGAAUUAAAUGAAGAGGACACGGAGUAGACUACUACCUCGUUCUUAUAACCUUUUCUUUUUCCUUUUCUCUCUCUCCAUCUCUCUCACUCUCUCUCUCACACAGAAGAGCUAGCGUAAAGGUGACGUACGUAGAUAGUUUCCUUGUUUUCAUGCAGUGAGAGAGAUACAGAGAAAGAGAGAACGAGAGAGAGAGAGAGUGUGACGGUCGUCCUAUGGUUUGGUGAGAGAACAGUGAAUUGGCCGACUCAUUAAGGAGGUGGGACGUGCUCACGCCGCCCGAAACGGUCUCCGGUCUCAUGGGUUUCUGUAGUAGACUCGCCGCCGCCGUCGGAGUGGGGGUGGGGGUCCUCGUCUUCCUUUCGUCCCUCCCCUCGUCCGGCUGAUGUCUGGGGACGUACAGUGAGAGUUGCAGACCACCGCUGCAUGAGGGAGAGACGUCGUCUGCGCUUCAGAACAUUCCCUGUUCUUCUCUCAGCGUAUAAAUAUGUUCUCGCCGUCCCAAUCAUGGACAUUACUCCCACAUAGUUUCGCACCAAUCCCAUGCAUUUAAUAGCCUUUUAACUUCCUUUCUCCCCCCCCGCCUUCUGUCUCUCAUUGACUCUCUCCUCUUCUUCGCCAUGAUAUUAAUUUCACGCAGACCAGGUUUCCACAGGCUCCCGGCUCUCUGCUGCAGCCUCCCCUUCCUUCCCCUGGGCUCGUCUUCCGUCAUGCCACUGCUGAGCGUGCGGCUUUCCGGACAAGGUCCAGUGGUUUCUUCAAAUUAGGGCUUCUACGAACUGGACGGGCAUUCAACUCCGGUGGUCUUCAAUCCAACUUCUCGGCCGGAUUCCACGAACUCGGUGCGGAAAAGCAACCCCAUUUCGGGUUAGGUCAACGUCUGAGCAUUGGCACAGUAAUCGCAGCGCCGCGAUCCCAUUGGCAGGGAAAGAAAUGCUCACGGUGAAGGAGAGGAUUCCGAUGGACGAAAAGGAGAGCAGACGGCCAAUAAGAGGGACAGGGAAGAGAGCUUGAAGAGAGGGAGGGAGAAUUCCGGGAGAUAGAUUGAGAUUUUAAGGAGGAGAGAGAGAAACUGCGGUUGGUUGAUGGAGGAGAGGGAGAGAAAGAGCAGUUCAGGAAGAUGGCCGGGCUCUCCUCCGUUUAACCUUCUCUCUCUUUGCGGUUGUUAGCAGAAGAAGACGGCCCGAGCUAAAUCUGAGUAGACCUGGUGGUGAAUUGUGACUCGAAUCGCAACCGGAAGUGCUUCAAGGAGUAUUCCUCUCGACCCUCUUCUUAUCUUCCUUCUUCCUGGCCCGUCCAUGAGAAUCGAAAGACGGCGACCGCCGGCCGCAUCAGAAAAGGAAACCCAAUUGGUGCAGAAUCACCCUCCUCCCUCCCUCUCUCUCUCUCUCUCUCUCUCUCUCUCUCUCUCUAUCUCUCUAUCUAUCUGACUUUGAUGGUGGACCUCCAACGGCGGCGAUGUGCUGAUUGAGGAAUCCCUCCCCGUUGCAAAGUCAACACGUACCUCUCAUAUCAACAACCACCUGUCUUCCACUCGGCCGUCUUAUUUCCGAAUCAUUUCCUGUCGAGGGCCCGGGCGGAUCCGUCGGACGACCGCUAUCUCCUGGUCAACGAGUGUCCACUCCUCGGCCACUCCUCCGGCGGAUGUUAAUAAUAUCUUUAUGACUUCUAGGAUCAAACCAGGGUCUUGGUCUUCGCCCAACGCUCUCCACGGGUUAACUGCUCCUCCCCGACCAGUCCACGCCCAUUUUUAACUAGAUAGCGAGAGAGAGAGAGAGAGAGAGAGAGAGGACGACGCGACGUGAAGAAACCCGUGACAAUUUUAUAUUACUUCUUCUAGAAAUAUAAUUUAUUAGGAAGAAUGCCAAUUUCAGACCCUUGGGGUGUGGUCGGUGUGCCUUUACCUAAAAGAUGACAUAUUCUAAAAUAAUAAUUUAAUUUUAUAUUCCCCUUAGGUACGUGUUCUGAAGGCCCCUCUUUACAGUGGCCGCACAGGGAUCGAGGAGACAUUUGAAAGGGGGGGCUAUUUUACAAAUUUCCUCGCGUCGGCGAAUGGGCCCUACAAUGACCGUUCCCUUAUUUCAUUGUCCGUUCGUCGAAACGCGAAGUCGGCUCAAACCCACCAAGGGGGGGGAGGAGGAGGGGCCCAGAGGUCGUCUUUAUUUGGUCGUCGGGGCUCACUGGAGUUUGACCGCCGUCCACGUCGCGGAAAACGACGGAAGAGAUGCCCCGUCAUUCUCUGACUUCUUUGUCCUAAUUUAUAGCCACGCCCCCCCCGGCCUCUGCAGAUCGCCCUGUUCUGCUCUAGAGUUACUCGGCGGUGCCGACGGAGGAAGAGGACGAUGGUGAGGAGGAGCGGCGGCGGCGGGAAGGAGUUGCAGGUGACGGUGCCGAGCUUCUUCCGGUGCCCCAUCUCGCUGGAGGUGAUGAAGUCGCCGGUGAGCCUCUGCACCGGCGUCACCUACGACCGCUCCUCCAUCCAGACCUGGCUCGACGCCGGCCACAACACCUGCCCCGCCACCAUGCAGGUCCUCCCCUCCAAGGACCUCAUUCCCAACCACGCCAUCCGCCGCCUCAUCGACCUAUGGUCGGCGGAGUCUCAACAGGAUCGCCACCACCCGCAGGAGCCGGCCGGCGGCGCCGCCGCUGUUGACUCUGUUUCCCCGGUCGACCUCCUCCGGGAGGUCGAGUCCUCCGACGACCCUCUUCCUGCGCUGCGGAGGCUCGCAGAGAUGGCGGCGGACGCCACCAGGGUUCUCGAGCUGGCGGAGAAUGGUGGCUGCAUUCCCGCUCUUAACAAGAUCCUCCGCCGGAAGGAGGCGGCGGCGUUGGCCGUCAGGGUUCUUUCUCUGGUUCUCGUCGCCGGGAAGGAUGUUCCGGCGGAGGUCGACGUUGGGGUUCUGGUUCGUUUGAUCAGCAGCGCCGGUGAGGGGGAGGAGCUGAUCGACGACGCGCUCUCCUGCCUCAUCGUUGUGUCCGCGCAGCGGCGAGCUCGGCCGGAGAUGGUCAAGCUGGGGGCCGUCGGGGCUCUGGGGAAGGUGCUGGGGAGGGAUUCAACGCCGCCCGUUGCGGCGGAGAAGGCGCUGAGGCUCAUGGAGAGGGCGUCGACGUGCGCGGAGGGGCGGGCGGCUAUCUGCGAGGACCCGGCGGCGGUGGCGGCGGUGGUGGGGCGGAUGGUGAAGGCGUCGCCGGCGGCGGCGGAGCACGCGAUCGUGGUGCUGUGGACGGUCUGCUUUCUCUUCCGUGACCGGCGGGCGCAGGAGGCGGUGGCGGCCUGCAACGGGUUGACGAAGAUCCUCCUGCUGAUGCAGAGCAACUGUUCUGCGGCUGCUCGGGAGAUGGCCGGCGACCUGUUCAAGCUCUUCUGCGUCAACCAUGGCGGCUGCCUCCCCCCCGGCUACGACCUCCAGACCACCCACAUUAUGCCCUUCUGAUCACCCGUUUUAACUAGUCUCCUCCAUUUUUGCCGCGGGAUUUCAGGGGAGACGAACAGAAUCCCCCCCGACGACGUUCUGUAAGAAUUUUUUGCAAAGAGGAAAUUUUGAUCCGACCCGGCAAUCACGCAAGUCAAUCUCUCUCUCUCUCUCUCUCUCUCUCUCUCUCUCUCCUGUUCUUCGCCGAUUUCUCAGGAGCGCAGCUCGUCCAUGGCCGGCAGUCGUGGGAUGCCAUCAUCUGCUACUAUUGCCGGUUUUUGCGGACUGGGGUUGGUCCUGUGGCAGCGACAGCAGAAAGAAGACGAAGUGAAGAUGGGGGGGCUGGCGAGAUGGCGAAGCGACUGAUGGGAAGGAAGGGAGGAAGGGGGAGGGUGGUGGUGGCCGACCGCACAUCGUGAAGCCAUUAAAGGUUCGACAGGCGCGGACGGGGCUUCCGCCGUUCGAUCUCCGGCCCGAAUUUAGGCGCGGACAGAAGGAAUCGGGCGGCGCCGGAGAGGGCCCGGAAAGCAGGGGAUCGGAAAAUUGCCAGCUACCCGCGUCAGAAAAGAGAGAUGAAAGAUGGAAUGUGAUAGCUGUGGAUCAGGCGUACCCAAUCAAUCCCCACACCAGAAAGAGAGAGAGAGAGAGAGAGAGAAGCGUGAAAGCAGGGGCUCGGAAAUACACGACUCUGUGCCAGGAAGAAGACAAUGGGCACGCAAGGAGAGAGAGAGAGAGAGAGAGAGAGAGAGNNNNNNNNNNNNNNNNNNNNUUCCAUGAGAGGUUGCUGGCGGCCGGAAAGGAAGGGAAGAAGCAGAGCCGAAGACGCUGCGGAUCUCCUCAGAAGAAGCCGCGAGGACGUGGGCCGCCGUCAAACGGGUUCAAGCGCCGCCCACCUGCCCAGUCUCCGGGACUCCCUUUGAAGCAUUUCAACAAACAUCUGGUGGGCCUCCCUUGUCCAUGCCCAAAAAUCCCAACCGGUCAACGCGAGAGAGAGAGAGAGAGAGAUACAGAGAGAGUGGGCCCAGCCUCUGAAGACUUCCAACUGCACGGCCCAUUUAGGAGCCCAGCAAGGAGAAUAAUUGCGUCAUUAGUUGAUUAAAAUAAACAUAAUUUCAAUGGCUAAUUAUAAAUGGUAUCGUGGAAUAUCCGAUUCGGGGUCCGGAUCAAACUCAGUCGGCCGACCAGCCCCGUUUGAUUCGAACCGAUCCGACUCCGCCGUGACGAGGCCGAGUCGAUGGAUAUUGUUUCCUAUCACUGUACAGAUCACCGCUGUGAAGGGAAGGUGAUAUCGGAAGGACUUGGUUGGCGGUGCUGCAUCUGGCUUCUCUUCGGCUCCUUCCUCCGCGCCGGGCGGAGGCGCUCUCAUUCUCUCUCCUCCUGCCAGAGGCCUGAAGGUGUUCGGUGUGCGGCCAUGGGAGACGGUUUCUGGAGCCGGCCGCCGGCGCCCAACUAUGUCUCGCCUGGAAUCAUCAAGCGGCAGCUGCUCGAGUCAGGUACUCCCGGGAAGUUGCACAUGCUGAAACUCGCGAUUUCCAGGGAUCUGGAUCGUCUUUCACCGUAUAAGGGAAUUUUCUCCGGCAUCUUGAUCGCUUUGCGGUUUCUCUGGCGCGUAUCUGGUCGGUGAUUUCCACAUUUCUCUGAAUGGGGGGCGGAGAAGGUCUGGCGGAAGAUUUGAGGACGCCGUUAAGGAUAAUCUGAAUCAAAACAGAAACAGGAUGUUAUAGCUUUAUGCGAGGAUAUAUUCUUUUGUUCACGAGCAGGAUCGGGUGGAGUCGAUUUCCUAUAACUUUAAGAGGUAGACCAACGAUUGCAGCGGAGCGCUUACUUCGUCUCUAGCUCGGUUGUUGAUGUUUUAUGUUCCUAGUUGUCGCCAUUGUAUUUGCUGGUUGUUACUCGGGCGGGUCAAGUUUCGUCGGCCUUCAGUCAUUAUAAUCGCCGAGGAUCACUAGGAAUUAAUCUGAUAAGGGCUUACAAUGAAGUUACAUUGCAGUUGAAUUAUGUUUUCUUCCCGAAAUAAGUUCUUCAAAGUGUACUACUCCUCGAAGGAAAAAACCCUGUUGCUAAAUAUAAUCUUGUAUGAUCCACAUGUAAUGAUUCCCGGAGGCUCCAACAGGGAGCAUGCAUGCAAUUGGACGAGGCUAAUAAUUUCAGUGCUUCAGUUCCGGGGUGUGAGAACUCAGACGGGGAACAAAAAAACUUUAAUGAAUUAUCAUCAUCAUCAUCAUCAUGAUCUAGUCAUUGCCUAACUUAUAGGAAAUCCGAGAUAUCAUUAAGGAUAUUUCUAACUCAAUUAUUUGCAAUAGGAUAGUUACGUGAUGAGCUUUUAAUUCCUUUUUCUUCUUGCGCCAUUAUUUUUAAUGAGUUCAUCAUCUUGCUGCUUCCUUGUUUCUGUGUAACAUCGAGAUGAUUUAGAGCAAGGGGUAAUUGAUCAGCAUCACAAUGUGUGCAGAUGUUAAUCCUCCGAGAGAGCCUUUCAAUCAGGGCAUGGUCCAUUAUCUUCCCAGAGGUGACACCCACGUUGGGCUCCAUGCCGCUAAGGACACAAAGACCACUGGAACCUCUCACGAUCAGCAUCUCCAGAACGUGGUACUUACUCCACAGUUCCUGCUUCCAUGCUUCUGAUUUGAAGAAAACUUUGAAAUAUCUUUGGGAAAAAAGAAUUAACCUCUAUCAGCAGAUACCUUCAUUUUCUUCAGCUACAGUGAGUAAUCUGGGUGGAGCUGGAUUAGCUGUGAAAGCCGGGGACACGCCUGGUGCUAUCGGAGGUGUUUCUGAUCUCCAUGUUGAGGAGCCAUCAGGCUCUAUGCCGCAUGGUCUCGGCAUCGCCUUUGCUGGGCAGGGCCACGCGGACCCAGUGAGCUGGGCGGGGCCACCGGGUGCUGAGACUCAGUUGCCACAGGAGGCGUCAGAGACUUUAUUCGUUGAGGGACUUCCCCGCGACUGCACUGAGAGUCAGGUGGCUCGUAUCCUUUGAUAAUUCAGGCCUUCUUAUGAAUCCCAGAUUGAUGAAUCUAUGUGGACUCCCUCCUGAGCUUUCUUUCACCCAAGAAAAGAUAUCUUCCGCCAUUUCGAGGGCUUCAAGGAAGUAAGGCUGGUGAGCAAAGACCCAGAACACGUAGGUCUUUCUGUCUUUCUUUCCCAUUUGUUCUUGUGUUCUUGAAUUGCGCGUUAGUGAGAAGUGUUCAUGUUAUAACUCGUGUUGCAGAACACUGGCGGCAGGCUAGUUCUUUGCUUUGUGGACUUUGUAGACGCCACUUGUGCGAUGGCCGCCCUGAAUGCCCUGCAAGGUCAGUCGUUCUUCACCACAAGGAGCAUUCUAAGUCGCCUUUUUUUGUGUAACCCCCGUCGUGGGUGAUGGUAUCACAUGCAUUACGUUCAAUACCUUUGUUUCCUUCUUUAGAAAUCGAAUGAAAUAUAAGUUGCAAAAGGGCACUUUUGGGGGGGCUUAGACUCAAGAACUGUGUUGACCAACCUCCCUGUUGUUGGUACACGCAUUAACAAGUCUUUAAACUAUAAGAAUAACUAAUUUUUUUCCUGCAUUUGGAUGGAUUUUAUGUCGAUACUUUGGGGGAGAAACCUACUCAAAGACGUUGGUUCUUGUAGACUAUUGUUGCUGAUUAGACAUCUUGAGCCUUGGAAGGAGAAAGAUGCGGUGUUUAUUUGUAAAAAAAUCAUCGUCUUUGGGCAGGUUCCAAGGUGGACGCCAACGAUCCGGGCUCACCAUUUCUGCGGCUUCAGUUCGCCAGAAAUCAAGCCCCAAGAUCCGGCCCCGGAACACCCCCCAUGAGGUGAGCCCCUCCUGUCACCUGCCGGUGGCGUGCCCGCGGACCUCCCUGUGUAUAACAAUUCCACCUGGUUGGUGCACAGUACCGAGAGAAGGUUCCCACUUCCUCUGGAUGAUCCCAUGUCUAAUAAUCCUCCCUCUUCCUGGUUCGUUAGAGUGGUGGUGAAAUUGUGUAUCUGAUGCUAGGUCUUGAGGUCUGACUAAAACCCAAGUUGCUGAAUCUCUCUCUCUCUCUCUCUCUCUCUCCCUCUCUCUUUCUCUCUCUCAUACACACACCCGAUCUUUAUCACGAGGAGAGGUAGAGAGAUUCAUUCAGGCAUUCUGUCGAGCGACUCACCUGGACUGGCAGAGCAGAUGAGGAGGUUUCCCAAGGUGGGGACCUGGACAUACAGGGAGAUGGAGGACCACCUGGCGGCGGCCCUGAGCGCGUGCGCCGGGCUGCCGGAGAUGAGGAAGGUCCACGGGCGCAUGGUGGCGCUCGCCCUCUCGCAGAGCAACUUCCUCGCCACGAAGCUGGUCCUCGCCUGCGCCACCGCGGCGGAUAUGGCCUACGCGGAGACCAUCUUCAACCAGGUGGCGGAGCCCAACGGCUUCCUCUUCAACGCCAUGAUCAGGGCCUACUCUCACAACGCCCGCCACGCCGACGCCCUGGCUCUCUACAAGGCGAUGCUGCGCCGCGUCGCCGCCGACCGCUUCACCCACCCCUUCGUCCUCAAGGCCUGCGGCGCGCUGGCCCUGCCGGCCCUCGGCGCACAGGUCCACGCCCACGCCUGCAAGUUCGGUCUCGACUCGGCACCCGUGGUGGAGAACUCCCUUCUUGAGAUGUACGCCAGAUUGAGCGAUGACCACCUCUCCGACGCGCGGAAGAUGUUCGGCGAAAUGACGCGGCGGGACGCGGUGGCCUGGAACACGCUCAUCUCGGCGCACGCGCGGCGCGGGCAGAUGGGGGAGGCGAGUCUCCUCUUCGAGGAGAUGCCGGAGAAGACGGUGAUCUCGUGGACGGCGUUGAUCUCCGGACACGCCGGCGCCGGCGGCCACGCGGCGGCGCUGGAGGUCUUCCACCGGAUGCAGCGGUCGGGGGCCAAGCCGGACCACGUCACCCUCGUCUCCGUCCUCCCCGCGUGCGCCCGCUUGGGCGCACUGGAGAUGGGGCGGUGGAUUCACGCCUUCGCCGGCAGGAACGGCCUCCUGGGGGAGACCCAGCUCUGCAACGCCCUCGUGGAGAUGUACGCCAAGUGCGGGAGCCUCCACGAGGCCCGCCAAGUGUUCGACCGAAUGCCGCGCCGGGACGUGGUCUCCUGGAGCGCCAUGAUCGGCGGGCUCGCGCACCACGGCCGCGCGGCGGAGGCCGUGGAGCUGUUCGAGGCCAUGAGGGCCUCCUCCGUGGAGCCGAACGGGGUCACGCUGCUGGGUGUCCUCUCUGCCUGCGCCCACGCGGGGCUCACGGCCAAGGGCAUGGAGAUCUUUGCCUCCAUGGCGAGCCCGGGAGUGGAGCACUACGGCUGCGUGGUGGAUCUCCUCGGGCGGGCCGGCCACGUGCGGGGGGCGCGCCAGCUGAUCGAGGAAAUGCCAGUGCCGGCAGACGCGGCCAUCUGGGGCUCCCUGCUCGGCGCCUGCAGGACCCACGGGGACGCAGAGACCGCCGCCGUGGCCGCGGAGCGGCUGCUGGAGCUGGAGCCGGAGGACCCCGGGAACUGCGUGCUCCUCUCCAAUGUGUACGCCGCCGCGGGGAGCUGGGAUGGCGUGUCGCGGCUGAGGAAGCAGAUUCGGAGCAGGAACAUGAGGAAGACCCCCGGGUGCAGCUCCAUCGAGGUGGGCAACCUCGUCAAGGAGUUCGUCGCCGGGAGGCCCGAUUUCCCAGAGAUCUCCGCCGUACUGGAGCUGCUCGCCUCCCAGCUCGGCGGGGAGGAAGAAGACCCGGCAGCCAUUGGAAACCAUGAAUGAGCCCAGAAGAGAGCCGGAGCCCAAGCCAGGAGGAGCAAGAAGAAGCCGCCGUGAGAACCCCCGCUGACCUGCACGGAUGAUGGAGAGGAUGAGCUCGACGGCAGAAAGGAAGCGGGUGAGCCCGGCUGAGCGCCAGGCUGGGUCUAAUCCUCAAGCCGAGUUCUCAGGCGGGCCCGCAGAAGAUCCAGGGACUCCAAACGGAGCUCUGAAGAUCGGUUCUUCUUGUAUAUCUCCCAUAUUUUGAGGACGAUGUAAAGAUCAUGGAAGUAAUCAGUCAACAAGAUCCAAGUAGAAUUGCAAUCGAAUUAAUUCAUAUUUUGUAAUGACGCAAUGCAAAAUCUUAUCAUACUUCUUCACUUCCUGCGGCCACCUCUGUGGGGGGUCAACCCGAAACCCAUAGCCAUCUCCUAAGCUCUAAUAAUCAUAUUGAUCAUAAUAAUGGUUUCCGAGGACAAGUUUUCUUUCAAGAUAACCUCACUCAUGGCUCAUUCUUACUGAGGAGCAAGCCUAAGCCAGCUGAGUGCGGCAAUAAGGCCCGAAGAGUUGGACAGGAAUCGGAUGAACAGGCCUGAAUGCUGAUAGAAGGAUAAAAAGCUGGCAGGGUAUAAAUAGAAAGAUCAAGCACUAUAUCACUUUGAUUUUAUUAACACCCCUUCAGAAAUCCACCAAAAUGUCUGAAGCAUCCGAGCGAGGAAUAAAUCAUGCAAUAUUAAAAAAUAUCAGAAAUAUUUUCUUUUCCUCGAAAAAGACCAUCAAAUAUAAUAAUUAUGGGUAGCAAGCCAAAGGAUUCAGAACCGAAGUUUUUCCAGUGAUUACGGCCAACCCUGGAACAAGAACUAUAAUCUUGUAAGCUCCUAGACAAUAUCCAAAAGUCGCGCCAAGUGCAAUGCUGCCCAUUGUUCGUGCCAGAGAAAAAUCACCUUUUUAUGGAAAAUACUGUUCUUAUUUCACAAAAGAAGAUCAGAUAUAGUUCUGUUCUAUUUCAGAAUCAUGCAUCACAGAGGAUAGAGCGCAGGAUACACCGACGUGAAGAAAAAAUAAAACUGGAGGGGCAGAGCUUCAGUCUUUUGUUCUUACCUUUGGAUCUCAAGACUCCUGGUAUAGGGACUGGAGGGAUCACAGAAGAAAAUGACGAGAUAUCCAUGCCAGAGGAGCAAGCUGAUCCCUGUUUCUUUGUUCUUAUUUAUCUUUCUUCCCUGGUGAUCUCUUACAAUACUUCUUCAUAUAUCGAUCAGGUAAAGAGGGCCUCCAUUCCUGGGGAGAUCUGGAGCAGGCAGUGCUUGGCAAUUCUGGCUUUGGAAGCGAGGCUGGUGAAUGAUCGAUGCGGCCGUUGUUUCCGAUCCGCUCUAGAUGAUCAUCGGAAAGGCCAGGCUCUCCCCCUCCCGUCCCAGGCAUCUCCGCUGCAUUGGGUUUGCUCUGAAAGCUCGGCUUCUUCCUCAAGAAUUUUGCUCGGUCCGUGUCUGGAUUCCCUUCGGAUGAAGCGAUCGCCUCCAAUGGUUCGCCAUUCGAGUUCUCCAUGGUCUCAAGGAGCAUGUUCUCCGCCGUAAGCUCCGCCUUCCCACAGAUGCCUGGUUCUUGAUUCGACAGACUGAUGGCGGGAUGCCCUCCCUCUUGAUCAUUCGAGCUGUCUGAAUCUGUAGGGCAUGAAUUCCUGGUGAUCCUCUGCGAGCCAUUCAUAGCCCGAUGAAGCUGAAGAGCCAUCUCCCCAUCAGGAACUGAUGCGUUUCUCGAGUCCAUCGCACUCGUUCCUGGAGCUGCGGGAUGUGGUGGCGCUGAGGCCUCUGCCGGCGACGUUGCCCCAGCCGCCACAGCGAAUUCGGUGCUCGUCGGCGCGUUCUCCAUGGAAACCCUAGCGGGACGAGAAUCCUUAAGCUUUCUAGGUUUUUUGAGAAAGGGGCAGCAGUCGAUGCAGGAGAAGUCGGGGCGGAGAUCCGGCGGAAGGAGGUAUCCUCUCUGCGCUGGCAGACAUCUGAGAUGGACUCGGCGGGAGCAAUGGCGGCAAUCGACGGAGGAGCCCUCAUCUGUCUCGGCGAAGGUCGCGAAGCAGUAGGAGCACGCCUCCGCGGAGCGUACGGCCCGGAGGCACGCCUUGCAGAGGAGAACGAUCCGCCAAUGGCUGUCCAGCAGUUGGAGCCGCUCACUCCGGCCCUUGUCCGGGAACCGGAGGCCGCAGCAGUGACAGUUGCAGAGGUUCGGCAGAUCACGAGUCUUCCUCCUCAAGGCGCUCAAAGGAAGAAGAACAGAGGAAUGGGAGGAGGACGGGGGAACGGGACGAGGCCCCGCCGGAGAGGGCGCUUCCUCUCCCUCCCCCUCCUCGUCCGCCUCCAACACCUCACACUGCCCCCUCUCCGCGUCCUGCCCAUCCGGCAUCAAGAACCGGCGAAAUUCGAGGCCAAGGGCGAGGCGGCGCUAGGGUUAUCAGGCCGAGCUUUCUCCCCCCUCGAACCCUACACAGGAGCGAGCACCGCACUACGAUUCCUUCAGAUUCACCAGGAAUUAAACAGAAAAACAUCUACCAGGAAGGAGACGAUCGUCGACGAGAAUGCACCGGCGAAGUGCAGAUCGGAGGCGCCGGCAUCACAGAUCCCCUCCUCUCCUUCGGAGUCGACACUCCUGGAGCAGGAUCGAGACGUGGAAGCGCCGUCCUGGAAAUGGACUGAGGCGCGAGAACCUGACGCCGCAGGCCUCUUCUCCGUAGAGCAGCGCUCGGAAGAAGAUGAUCAAUCAACCAUAGAUAGAUCUGCCUACGGUGGCACGCCCAAUGCCGGCGGGCUUCGUCGCGAUCAUUACAGAUCCCUCAACAGUUAUGGACGACGACGGUGAACCAGGAGGAGACUUGCAAAUUAAAAAGCAUCCAUCUGAAACCAGCAGACCAGACCUCCAUGAUUUUUACCGCGAGCUCCCCCUGUAGAUCUCGAUAGAAUACCGCCCACGGAAACGGAAACCCAUCUGAAACCACCGGACCCUAUCAUUCUCACCAUAUUUUCCGACUGCAAAUCUUCCGAGAAUGACAUCAAUCAAAGGUGUUCAUAGAGCUUAUUAUCGCCAUAAAAUAGUAAAAUUACAAGGGCAUCUCGGUAGAAAAAUAUUUCCUUGAUCCAGUUUUGAACAUAUGAUCCAUCUGGGACCUGUCUGUCAUUCCCACAGACUUCACACCGAUCGAAGAAUCCAAACCGCAGGCAUCAGAAGAAGAGGAAUUUCAUAGAAAAAUAUUCUGGCAAUUGAAUCAUAGUAAGCCAUCAAACACCGUCAUUUUUACAAUUUUUUUUCUUCUCCCCCCACUGCAGAUCUUUACAGGAGACCGUCACUCCCCAGGCGGUGUCAGCAACAAUGGUGGCCGCAUCAUCAACCCUGACCGAGCUCAUUCAGACGCUCGGACAGAGAGAGAGAGAGAGAGAGAGAGAGAGAGAGAGAGAGAGAGAGANNNNNNNNNNNNNNNNNNNNNNNNNNNNNNNNNNNNNNNNNNNNNNNNNNNNNNNNNNNNNNNNNNNNNNNNNNNNNNNNNNNNNNNNNNNNNNNNNNNNNNNNNNNNNNNNNNNNNNNNNNNNNNNNNNNNNNNNNNNNNNNNNNNNNNNNNNNNNNNNNNNNNNNNNNNNNNNNNNNNNNNNNNNNNNNNNNNNNNNNNNNNNNNNNNNNNNNNNNNNNNNNNNNNNNNNNNNNNNNNNNNNNNNNNNNNNNNNNNNNNNNNNNNNNNNNNNNAGAGGAGAGAGAAGGAAUACCUUCAACAAGAGCCAUCCACACUGACCAUCAGCAUCAGAAUCAAUUCACACCCCUCGGCGGGUCGGCGCCAUGCUGGGAGGAGGCGGUCAAUCAUCUCCACGUGCAAAAACCCGCGGGUGAAAAACCUGGUUAGAGAGAUGAAGAGGGAUCCUGAUACCACCUGUGAAUUGCUCGGUGGGUUCAGUAGGGGUUGGAUUCACUUCUUCAAUGGCUUCACCUCUUUCUCUCUCUGUUGGAGCAACACACGCAGCACCCAAGGUGAGGAGAGAUUCCACCACUUGCUCACUUUAAAUACACAGACUCUGAUAACUAAUGCCGAAUAAUCGGCAUGCCAAAGUCAAAAUUGAGUUGACUAUAGACAGGAAGCACCCAUUCUCUCCCUCCUCCGGUCUGGCCCAUUUGACAGCCUCAAACCAUAUAUCCGAAAAUGAUGUUCAAAGAUCAUACCAAGAACAGCCAGAGGUAUCUGGAAUAAUUUCUUUUAUCGUAUUUUUGAAACGAUUUUAUGCAGAGGUGGUUGAGAUCAUGAUCAUGGCGAACUGCAUCGGUGAGGAGAGACAUUUACCUGAACUUGGGCCUGCAGUUCUUCGAGCUCGGAAGUGAUCUCGGAGAAUGAUGGUCGCCUGCUCGGAGUGCCAUCCCAGCAUCUCUGCAUCAAGUUCAGUAGCCUGGGGUGCAUGUCCUGUGGAGGUUCCGGCCGUACGCCCUGAGAAAACAAGAACAAUAAGUGAACGAGCAUGCUAUUUAUGGAAGAGAGCCGUAGAUUUGGGACUGCAGAUGAGCGAUUUAAUGGAGAAGCUCUGGGGUCCCAAGCAGUGGACUUCGCGAGAACAAAUGAGAUCUCAUGAAGUGAUUUGGUAUCUUAUGUGAGAGAAGCUGACCUUCCUCACUCCGAGGGCAGCCUGUACAGGCGUUGACUUCUCGUAGGGAAUCUGCAUCAUAAAACCAAAAUUCAAACCCGCUCAUCACCUGGCGUCUCAGGAAAGAAGUAACCCGGGCUGAUGGAAAAAUUUCCAAGCUAGUUGCACCAUAAAUAUUGAUAGAAAAAUCGAGCCAAUCAAUAAUGAAGAGACAGUUUUAUUCCCUACUUCGGAUGCAGGACUAUUCACAUACCUUUGAUGUUGCUAAUUCCCAAAGCACGAUAGCAAAACUGUACACAUCAGCUUUAUGAUCGUAAUCUUGAUGGUUUAUCACCUUCAAGAGGAUGAAGAAUGGUUCAGAAAGGCAAGAUAAUUCUGAAUAAUUCAGUUUCCUUCAAGUGAAUAAUAACCCAUUAAUUUUUUUUAUUCCCUCUCCGUCCCCCUCCCCCCCCCCCGGCUCCAUGGAGAAGGCAGGAACACAACCUCGGGUGCCAUCCAUCUGUAUGUUCCAGUCUCCGCUGUCAUUUCUCCUCCCCGGUGUUUGAAACGUGCUACACCAAAAUCGGCGACCUUCACAAUCUAGAGAAAAAGAUGGACAACAAGACCGCGUGAGAGAAAAGAUUUUCAGAUCGACACAAUCUCUAUGCUAGAAAAAUACAUCAUCACUUUAGAGUUCUGGUGUAGUCUCAUCUAUGGUGUUCAGCAUCGCAUGUUCUAUUCAAGACACGAUGACCAUUCGUUUUGUGCUCCAGCGAAAACACUUCUUCGUCAAUUAAAAAAAAUUGUUUUAAUCUUGGUUUGUCACCCUGCCAGUACUAGCAAGCAGUUUUUUUCUAUUGGCUAAAAAAUCGGCCAAUAUCACCAGAAUCGGGUAAAUUCAGCCAAUAAAUUGGUCACCCCAAGUUUGAUGCUUCAGUUUAUCAUUCAGGGAUGUGGCCCUCUCCCUCAACGCCAAUAAAAACACAAAAUAAAGGGAAAAAAGAGAAAAAUAAAAAUAAAGAAGGAAAGUGUCUAAAGAACUAGCAUAUUAUGGUCGAAUUAGCUGUUACUAAGAUAAGCCCGUCCAAACAGGAAAAUACUGUGAAGUUUCCUAAAACACCUUGUUCAUAAUAUCACCAUGGCCACCACAAAUGUAAGAAUCAAGGCAUGAAUAGUUAAAAAUCAUUUUUUAUAGUAACUAGAAGUAUACGAGAACUUAGGUAAAAUUGAAUCACAGUGCAGAAGUCAGAAGGAGCUACGUACAUUAUCGAUGUCCAACAAGAGAUUAGCUGACUUUAAAUCCCUAUGAAUUAUGUUGUUUCGGUGCAAGUAGUCCAUUCCCCUUGAGAUAUCUAUUGCAAACUUCAGUAACAGGGGAAGCUCCAGAACAUUAUUAUACUUGUGCAAAAAAUCAUAAAGAUUCCCUCCAGGCAUAUAUUCUGUAAGAAAAUUCCGAUGUAAUCCAUUAAUCCAUUGUGUUGAUAAAAAAGGUGUGGCAUAUACUGUGAAAGGAAUCCUUAAAAAAAGUCUCAUCAAGCAUACUCUUCGUGUUGAAUUUAAGAGAUAACAUUCAAUAGACAGAAACUUUAUCCACUGAAAUUUAGUGUAAACCACAGGAUCAAAACAUUUAAACCACAUUUAUUAGCAAAACAAUAGGCAGCCUUCUAGUUUGUUGACUUUAAGCAAGUCAUUCCCAGCUAAAUAUAAAGUUGAGUUACCAAACGAAGGAAAAUCCUGUAGACUCCAGACAAAGAAAAACGUUUCAUCCUUGUAUUUUAGUGAAUACGAGAUUCAUAAUAACAAUAGAAAAAAAAAGUAUUAGCCUUUACAAAAAAAACAUUUGAUUAUCUGUUCGCAUCUUCAAAACCUUGAACGACUAAGAAUUCAACGACAUCACAAAGCAGGAAUAAUAAGAAACAUAUGCAUGGAACUUGUACCCAUAUCAUGCUGAUAUGAAACGAACAAUAGAUUGACCAAAGCAAAUCCUACUGCUUUAUGGCCAGACAUUCCUCAACUGAUUUGUUGGGCUCUUUUCCCCUCUACUUACCAACGCUACUUCCAUCAUUGGCUGUACAAUUGCCACAUUCUGAGGAAACACCAAAGAAUAAACUUUUGAGGUGAGGUGGACAACUGGCGAGGAGACUGGCGUGCAUCUUUCAUUCAGCUGAAGAUUUCAUUCCCCAUGAUUCAGUGCCUCUCAUUACAUCUUGGUCUUGAAAGCUAUAGGUAUGCAAUGCCAAUUGUAUUCAUAUCAUUCCUGCUCAUCAGGGAAGAGCAUUCUGUGGAGUAAUGGGUUGAGUUUUGGGCUACGAACUUUAUGAUCAUCUUAGACGAGGUUCUACGUCAAUGCAUAUCCUUACCCGACUUCGAGAUUUUAACGCACAUUCUUUGCCCCAAUCCAAGAAUUGACCCUACUAGGACAUUUGUGGAUCAUACUAUUUGGCAUGCCGUGCGUAGAAAAACAAAUAUUAUGACAUUUCUGCAUCAACUUGUCCUUCAACAUAAUACCGAAGCAAGAGUAUCAUUUCUUCUUCAUCAUAAAACAUUAGUCCAAAAAUAAGUAGCGUACCUGUAACUAUACAUAAAUUUGGUGGCUUUGUGCAUGCGCCGAUGAAGCGAACAACAUUCCUAUGCUGAACUUCCCUGAUAAUGACACGAAAGGCAAUAAAUUACAGAGAAAAAAUAGUUUCUUACCCUUUGAGGAAGCAAAUAUUAGAGUGAAACGUUCUAUAGUACGACUGAUUGAUAUUAUCAUUUUCGUGAGUUUCAAUAGAUGAAUUCUUCAUCCACACUACGGUGACUACCAAAUGACAAGCAGAGCUAUAACAUUUUAAAAUUACUAUUCACCUUAGAAUGCUGACUUCUUGGUUGAAUUCUCCUUCAGAUGCUUGAUUUACAUGUUCAGAUUUAAGCAUUUUCACAGCAACGUCCUCCCCCAGGUAAAUUCCACGAUAUCUGUGUAUCAAUUAAAAAGUAUAUCACUACCAGCAACUCCAGAAGGAUGGAAGAAAAAACCACGUGGCUAGUGACUCACAAAUUUCCACAAUAUCCGGAAGCAAUCUUCUCCCCAAUCUUCAACAAUCUUCUGUCAAUCUCCCAAGCUUCAUCUACCGGUUGGAUAGUGGACACCUUCUCCAGCAUUGGGUGAGAUGAACCGGAAAAUGAACGCUACAUUUGACGAUAUAAUGUCAGUGGUAAAAGUAACAUUAUGCAAUAUACUCUAACAUCUCCUUCAGUCUUUUUUUUUAAAUUUUCUAGAUUUCAAACUUCUUUUCUAUACAGCUAGUUACUACCACAUCUCUUACCAAGAUCUCAUCACAUUCUCUGGUAUAUAACAAGAGACACCCAGAGUAAAUUCAGCGUUCUCUUCCCUUGAUCGCUUGAAGUAUGCAUUAUAUUAUUCUAAAUAAACUUUCAGGUAUACGCAGCCCAUUUUUCAUAAAAGAAAGCUUGAAUUAGGACGAUGACAGAGGAGCUCACGCUUAUAUCAGACAAGACAGCUACUAGCAGAUCUGUUUCAGAUGCCACAUUAAAUUCAUGGAGACAUAUAAGUUGAUUCCGUUAAAAAAUAUAAAUUAGUAAAAUCGCUGUCAUAAUCAUCAGUGAAUUUAGUAAUAGAUAAAGUUAUAUAAAAAUAUACAUAAUAAAAAGACAUCCAUAUGGUUGAUAAAAAUAAAGGAUUUAAACUACCCUUUUUACAAUAUUUAGAGUAGUUCCUGAUUGCAUGGUUUUCCAUUUUCUAUUCCAGUGUUAUUCCUGGUCACGAUAAGCCUACUCUUUCAGUUGGGAAGGAUUUGACAUCUUCACGUCAAAAGGUCAGAGAAUACGAAAUGGGCAUCUAUACAAUGAUAAUGCACUUUCAUCACCAGUAAUCAUUUGUAAAUGGUUGGAUCCAAUCUCAUGAAUGGAGAGAUAAAUGCAAACACAGUGAGCAUGUGGUGAGCAUGUAAGCAUAUGGAGGCUAUACAUCAGAAUAUACGUUAAUUGACUCGUCAAUAGGAAAUACAAGGAAAAUGUGAUAAAGGAAAAUAAUUAUUACCUCGCUUCGCGCAAUUGCUUUCUCUAGAGCCUUAUCCAAAUCGUCUGUUUCCUGAGCAUAGAAAAUGGAAAUUAGAAACAUUCAGGCUCAGCAAAAUUUCCAGUAAUAAAUGAAAUAGAAAUCACAAUGUCCCUGUAUUAACACAUGCAUCAUCCAAAUGUCACAUCAAUUGGGUAUUGAUAUUAAGAAUUGUUUAAAACGCGUAGCAUAAAGCAUCAAAUGUUGUAUUAGAUGAAACUUUUGGAAGAGAAAACUAAGUCCAUCCAGAACGUUUAGUUUCUCUCGAAACUAUAUUUCUCCUCACUAUAUAUCAGAACUAAGGAAGCGUUAAAACCUAAGAUUAUUCUUAUAGGAAACGAUUGCAUCAUAGGAAACAUAUUUAUCAUCAAAAAUCUCAGCAAAAAACAAAUCAUAUCACAUUCCACCUCACAUUUCACGCAUAACUCACCUCAACAUCCCAUCCAUCAACAACAAAUACAUCGAGUGAGUAGCCAUCCACUGUUGAAAACACAUGAGCCUCACGAAUGUUUAAUCCUACGUCAGAUAGUAAUGCUGAGAGCUGAAAGAACAUGUCGGAAUGAGCCCCAUUAGUAAUAACAUGAAACCUAAGAAAAAGAACAUCCGACAAACUAAAUGCUAGUAUGAAACGAUCUAAGCAUUGUGUUCCUUGGAAGCAACGGUAACUUGGAUUAAAAAUACAGAUGGUUAAAACUGAUGCAAAAUUGAGACUCAAUCAUGGCAGAAAAUAACACAUAUUUUUAAGUUUAUAAUGGCUGGACCUAUCUUUUACUGCACAACAUGGCGAGACUAUAGAAAAGAGGAAAGCACCUGAGACGCAUAUUCCUCAUUUACAAAACUAAAUCCUGUCAUAUAAAAGCUUCGAGGUAAGAAAAAAGAAGCACGAUAUCAUUUGGACAGUAUCGAACUGUCUCAACAAUGGCCCAUCCGCAGAAUAAUUAUUCAACUCAUAGCAGGAAACCUCAUUUUCACACGGUUAACAAGACUUAUCAAAUCUUAAUCUAUUAUCAAAUUAGCAUAUGGCUAAUGGAACUCGAUUCUAUUAUAAAGUAAGAAAAAUGAAAAGACAGGAGAGAAGAGAUCAAGCUCUAUAAGAACGUUGAAGGUGUGGUUCAUCAGGCAAAAAUUGCCAAUCUCCUCCACUGGUCACAAAUCCUCGUGCACUGAUCGAUUCUAUUCAUGGUUCCAAUCAAUGCCUUUUGAUGCUGUGACGCUUAAGAUAAACAGGGUAUUCCUUCAAUUUUUUUCUAGUCCAAAUAUUCAUUCAACACUUCCAUUUUCUUUCCAUCCCUUUUUUUUUCAUUUUCCUUCUGAUUGUCCCAGCUGCCUAUUUGUUUUCACUCAUUCUUCUACCUUACUUUCUUUCUUAAUUACUUUGCUUUCAAUGCCUCUUCUCCUCAUUCUGCGUUGACCACUAUUAUGGUGAUUUUACGUCUCUUUUCUGUUUAUUAUUAAUUAGGUGUCCUUGCUUCGCCUCCCCGCAGUCAUUUUUUCUUUUUUCUAUCUUUUUUCAAUAAGGAAAUUACAUUUCCUAUCGAUCCCCCCCCCCUCUACAGAAUGUGGAAUCUUUCCAUGCCCUGAAGUUCCUUGUAGUCCAAUCUUGUAUCCCUUCCAUACUUUCUUCUGGUUUUUCUUUCUCCUAUUUCUGUCCUAAAAUAAGCAAUUGGCUGAAUCAGACCACUUUCCAGCAAAAUCUCGAUAUUACCAGAACAAGGACUCCAAAAACUUUCCUUCAAUGUCAGAUAUAGUAGCAGAAAAAUCACGAAGAGUGAGCACCAAAGGACCCAAGUAACGAUUCUCAUAGUUCUGCCUGAAUCCUUAGCCUUCACCAGUGAAGAGACAAUUGAAAAGAGAAAAAUAAUAACUACCAAUCCGAUGCAAUAGACGUGUAUAGCACUUGUAUCUAAGACCAAGAACCUAUUGAUCAUGUCCUCUCCUGAAAUUUGAACAGCUGUAAAUGAAACCUGAGGCACAGAAACGCAUUUGCAUUUACUCUUAUGUUGCUUCUCUCGCUUCAACAUGACAGCGUGAACUAUUCGAGUCAGGUUGCAAAAUGAUUUGUCGCCUUUACAAUGUUUUCAUUCUAUAGGUAAACACAAGUAAUGUAACUAAAAAAAUGUCACGCUGCACAAAAUUAAAACCGAUAAUAUAAAUCCCAAUUUGUACCUGGGAAAGAAGCUUUGGCUUGUCAAUAGUAGAAAAUAUUAUUUCAUGUACAGGAAUUUGUAUCUGCCUGGACAAUAUAUAAGAGUGAUAUCAGAUAAACUUAACACCCAUCAGAAUCGACAUAAAAAGGACUAAUAAGUCUGACAUUUUUUGAUAAAUCUCACAAGACUAUCAAGUCUUUAACAACCUCUGACCACUUCUCAAAGAAAGAAAAGACAUGGUCAUAACUUAACUAUGCCACUGUUUCUACAUAAUCAUCUUUUGGUACAUGUAUGUCUGAUAGCUCGCACUUCAAAAAUGAGAAACUCUGUCUGAUGUAAAUAACGCGAAAACCACUAUAAUAAUGAUAAACAGUGGCAUCUAGUUGGCAGCUUUCACAAACUAUUGUUGCAGAGAGCUAGAAUAAGCAACCUCGUCGUUCUUUUUUUUCUGAUUUAGUUGAUCAUGAAAUUGCAACACGUGAAAGUAUGCCAACAAUCAACCAGUCAAGAUUGCACAUUAUGACCAACAGCAAAUGGUGGUACAUCCAUUUUUCUUUUUACAGGUGAGGUUGCUGAUAUAUAUCAUAGCAGUAAGGAAAUUUUCAGUGUAAUAGCCAUGCCAUUGUAGGAAAAAAAGGUACCUUGUGGACGAGGCCUCUGUAUGAUAUCCUCUAUCUUCCCUAUCUUCACCACCUCUUUUAACAUCCAGAUUCAAGUCCUCAAGCUUCGAGCAAGGUUCAAAGUCAAUCUCACAAUUCCUUUUUCUACUAAAAGAAACACUAUCAAUAAUCAAACAAGGAAAAGUUUUCCAAUGCAUGAGCAGACUACGUCAGGCAAACAGAAAUAUUCUAUAACUCAGGGAGCAGUUAGCUUAUCUACUAAAGAUUAGGAUCUUAAUCGCACCCAAGUACUUCAUCCCAUCAAAGAUUAAAGAUCUGCACCCCCCCCUACAACAAACGUAAACUGCAUUGUAUAAGUUUAAAAGUAUGGGCAACCUGAUGUCUGAUGGCUCCUCCCCUUCUUGUUCAGUCACACCACGAACCCAUGAAGCAGAUGAAACUUUCGUAGGUUGUACAUCAUCAUUUCCAAUUGCUUUAGUCUGUAUAUGCUACUCAGCAUAACAGAAAUCAAUUGAUAAAAGAAGAAAUCUGAAACAUAAUGCUUGGGCCACCAAAAAAGAAAACAAAAAAGGCUAAUACUCAAUGGAUAACACGUCUUUAAGAGGGAUCAUGUUGGAAGCCUACAAUUAUAAGGGCCCUUCUCGCAUAAGCAGAUAGUUCUAAGUCAAACUAGAAGCCCCUCACUUGGAUGAGCAUUCACAUGUCAGGCGAGUCUAUGAUGAAAAUACACAAUCUGACAGUAUUCACAUAUUCACCAAUUUCCAAACAUUUUUUUAAGUAAUGUACACUCGAGAGAAUUCUAGAAUCUUCAGAGAAUUGAAAUCAACCACGCAAAGCUAACUGCUCGCAUUUUCUGGACAAAAUAUAAACAAUAUGUAAAAGUAGUUGGGAACAGGUGACGGAUAGAAAGAAUGACCUGAAGAAUAAAUGUCCAGGCAUAAUAUACUACCUAACCACUAUGUCCUCCUAUGAAACUCAGCUCAGCUCAGUUUCUUAGACAAAGAAGGCAAGAAUCAAGGCAGAAUUCAAUACGAAUUCAUAGCCAUAUCUUCCCAGGGAGGAAGAUUAAAGAUACAAAAUAAGUGAUACGUGGGUAUGAUUUGGCCUUCAGAUAUGGUGGGGAAGGAAAAAUAAAGCUGUGAAUACAGAGCUAAACACCAUGGAUCAACCUCUUCCUGUGAACUGAAAAGCGAACACUAGUUCAACCGAACAUCAUAUGUUCUACAGCCUUCAGAGUAAGAAGAUCACCUAUUCAUAAACAUGCCAAAAUGAAGUUGUACAAAAAAUGGAGAAAAUUCCAAAUUGAUAAACACGAAAAUUCCAAACAAAUGACUCAUAUUUAGCCUUUUGCAAUCAUUAUGGCCAAAGCAAUCAAGCAAAUAGAGGGUCAAACCGUUACAGGAAAUAAGUGGAAUAGACACUAAUCUAAGUCAUACUGCUACUCUGCCCCAGUUGUAGUACAUAUAAGCAGCACAAUAAUCCAGUCAGUUGCAUACGGUCAAGAUAUUUUCCUGUUGUACAUUACAAUUGGUAGUGUGAUCGAGUGAAUGAGUUCAAAUCUCAAUUUUUGAUUUUCACUAUUCUGCAAACACGAUUUUAGCCAACCAUCUAUUAUCACAAUCCCCAAAUCUGAUAGAAAAUGAUAAACCAUCGGCAAUCCAUGGGUGCUCCGAAACCUUGAUAUACACACUCAACCACAUUGAGAAACAUCAGUUGCGAUGUUCCUCUCAUAUGCAACAAUCCCUAAUGACUGCAUCCGGUUUGAAUAAUCCAAUUCCUCCACAUCUUCAGUUCUCAUACCCAAAUUGGACUCCUCCCGAUCUCUAUUCAUCAUUUUAAUCCAUUCUCCAACUUAACUUGAGCAGGGUAAAUAAAUGCGUAUUAUUUCCUUUAACUUCCUUCUCACUGAUGUCGGCAGACAGGCAUGUAUGUUCGUAAGUGUAUGAAACAAUAAAACUGUACAUCUCUUCCUGCAUUUUCUGCUCUUCUCAUGCAGUGCCAAGUAACUGAAGUCACCAGGUUUUCUCCAUGCAUAAGAGUUUUUUUUUCUUCGUGGCAUAAAUAUUGCUCACAGAAGAAUUUAUGCUUCAUCAGUACAGUUAGAUCUAGGUGAUGACAGCAAGUACGCCAGUGAUAGAUAUGGUUUAAUAUCUAAAAUAUCUGAGCAGUAGAUGAAUCACUCACGCGCACAACACAAAUUUAGCAGAACAUCUUUCUUUCUGCAACCGAAAAUAGGUUGAGAAUCACCCUGGGGGAUCAGUCGAGAUGUGCCAGAGUCAGAUGGAAAUGUUCUCACUUUUUCUAGCCAACUAUGGAAGUCAACUUAUGUAUUCCCUACUUUCGUAGAAACUCAAGGACCAAUAAAAUCCCAAAGUUGGAGGAGACAAGCCACAACAUGCCUCUAGCAAUCUGUUUAAGGGCAUUGAAACUCCAUGUCCAUGAUGAUACAGUGCUCAAUCUGCGUCAAUUAUCCAAGACAGUACAGGACAUGUACUGUUGUUCUAAUGAUACGGACAAUUCAAAAUGGCAUCUCAUAAAUAAUGCCAAAAUGUUUUUAUAAAAAUGCUUCACCUUAACCAGACAUUUUAAAAUUUUAAACUCACCAAAUUCAGUACGGAAGAAUAGUUUUUGUCCAAAAUCUAUGUAUCCUUGAGAGAUCAAUUAGCACUGUCUUCCAUUUUAAAAUGCUGAACUUACAGGUGCUCUUAUCCCAUUUGUACUCCAUCGGCUAAAAGGAUUCCAUAAAUAUCAAGACAAUCUCGGAAUAAUUCUAUCCCGGAAAAUAAAUAUAACAUAACAUAACAUAAGCCUCAAAUUAACCGAACUCACUGAGCAGUUUCUAUAACCACAACAACGGUUAUUACGUCAGAAAUUGAAGGUGUUCAAACACAAAGCAACUUCAACAAACACGAGCAGCCAAUACCACGAGAGAGAUAUGCAAAAACUUUAGGAUGCCAGACAUAUGUACAUCAUGCAAGAAUAAAACUUUAGGAGACAACAUCAUCGUAGAAGAUGGAUGCCACACCUUGAUGCGCAUGCCUCACAAUUAUUGUCAACCAAAUCACCAGAAAACAGCUACAGUGGCUAAAUGCAGAUAUGAAGACAGACAAUAAAAACGCAGUGACAUAUUUUCUUAAAGUAAAUUAGUCAUAUAGACAAGAAUUUUUUUUGGCACCUGUAUAAAGCGGCUAUGGAAGACAGGACACUUUGCUGGAUCCAUGGCCUUGGCGAGAAUCUUUUGGUGUAAAAUAACAUCCUCUGCUUUGUCAACGUUCAUGUCCCAUAGGUAACUGGCAGAGUUACGUGAAGAGCAAGCACGUCAGCCUCACAAUUAACAGAAACCAUCAUCAUCCCAAAGACAAUUUUUCAUCAAAAUAGAUACAACUGCAAAAAGAAAUAUACGAAUCCCGAGGGUGUUUUAACACCCGACUCUGAAUGCACAAGUGACAAGAAACCAAACACAGAAGAUAGAACCUCUUGGUUUAUUUUUAGAAUAGCAUCGGAUGUCAUGAGGCAAAAACAAAAAAAAAUCCGCGUCCUCAAGAGGGGAAAAAUCAUUGGCUAUUACUUAACAAGAGCGAACUGUGAAUAUAAGAAUUUCGAAUUGAUCACGAACGCGGUAAUUUACGUUCUGUUGAUAGAGAGUUGGCACAAACGAUACCCAGACAAAUUUUUCCGAGAAAAAUAGGAAACCUAACGCAUUCAGAAUAAAUACUCAGGCUUAGCUACGCGUGGCAAGAAACUACAACUUCGAGGUAAACGGAAAAGGUAGCGCGUGGAUGAGAAGAAUAAGGAUGAAGAGGGAAGGAACCCGCCUUGCCGGCAGGCGGUCGAAAUGGGCGUCAAGCUGCUUCUUGAAGUCCGGAUUGAAGAGAGCCUCCUCGUAACCAUUUUCCACUAGCCUGUUGUAGAUAUCGUUCUUAAUGCUAUGCGGACUGAGGGCACCAAAGGCCCGCGGCAGCGGCGAGGAGCUCUCCCCUACCUCCUCCACCAACAACUCCAUCCUCCUCUCCCCUACCUUACUCACUCCGUCGCUCACUGUUUGCUUCCCGCCGAUAUCUCUCACCUCUCCGGGAACCAACUCAAGAUGGCACCGUCACCCUCCCUCCCCCUCUCUCCCUCUCUCUCUAGGCAUCCAUCCGCACUAAAACUAGGGCUCUGGACAAGGGAGAGAGGGAUAAGGGACCCAGCCGGCGAGGUCGACGCAGGGCGUGCGAGCCGCGUGGAAGCGACAGCGAGCGGGCGGGCGGGCGGGGGUGGGCGUCGACACAGAGAGAGAGAGAGAGAGAGAGAGAGAGAGAGACAGCAACGGCGGGGUCUGAGACAGCAGCAGCAGGAUCUUUGACGGUUAGAAGAAUCUCCCACCAGGAUGCAGGCGGCAAUUCCGAGAUGUAGCGGGGCCAGGACCGUCCACUCCCCCUUCCUGGACUGGAUAGCGGAGUAGACUGGUGGGGAAGCACUGCGAGGAAGAAGAGGAAGACCCGAGAAAGUCCGUCUGAAGCAGGAAAAAGGAAGCGGGUCGCCGAUUAACGGCUACCGACGCCCCUCGAUCGAUCGGAGCCCCGUUGGCCGUCCGAUCAAAUCACGGCUCGAUCAAAGGAGAUUCCCAGCGUGGGAGGGGGGGAGGCCUCAAAAAGACCCCCGUACGCAUCAAGCCGCGAAAUCCACCGACUGGACGUGGGGUGGGUCCUGGCCCAAUUGCCGUUCGACACGCGUCUGAGCCACGUGAGCAACCACGACGGCGGCGUUAGUUUUAUCGGCUGGUCGGUGGUGGAGUGACGUCAUUCGUACCGACUCCCCCUGCUCCACAAGAGCUCUUUCAUCUGUUUAACGCCUUUUUCGCCACUCAGCCGCGCUCUUUCUCUCCGCCGUCGGAUCGAUGGACCCAACCGAAGACUGUGGAACUGCCCAGUCCCGGCUAUUGACCGAUGCACAAUCGUUGAUCCACUUGGCCUAGAGAAAAAGACGACAACUGUAUUUAUUUAUUAUCUGUUUUCUUUAUUAAUCGAGGCCCCCUUUUGCUGACGUGGCGGUCUUAUCCGGGCUCCCCGGGUGGAGUGCGCGACGCUUUCCGCGCCAGAUACAUUCGGCAUCGCGAGCUGCUUUCUUUCCAGUAGAUGAUGACGGCGCCACGUGGCGUAGUCAGCAAUGGUCCCCUACUCCAUGUCAGCAGAUCCGUGGGCCAGACCGGAGCGCACCCAGUUCGGGCCUUCAAACAGACCCUGGCCUCAUAGUUAUCCGGCCCGGUGCCCGUUUUCUCCUCUGACAACGGCAAGGCCUACUCACCGGGGUUGGCCGUUACGCUUAACAGAGGGGUGCAAGAAGCGGAAUGGCCAUUCACUGUUGACCACAGUCGGCUUUUCAACGAGCAUAAGAGCACGAAAAUAAUCGAAAUAAUCAUAAAAAUAAAUUCUGGGCAGCAGCAUCAAACUUAUUCCUCUUUCCGGGAAAGUUGUUUUGACCGCAGACGUCAAUGAUGCGCUCAGAAAGCAUCAAGAAACUGACACCUGGCGCAAUAAAAAUGAGGGCCAUCAGUCACACGAAGAUAGUUGCAUGUAUAUAUAUAUAUGUACACACACACACACACACAGAUAGAUAGAUAGAUAGAUAGAUAGAUAGAGAGAGAGAGAGAGAGGAGGAGCGAGAGAGAGAGAGGCAGAGAUCAUACCAAGGAAGAGAGCUGGAUCAGGUUGCAAUUGAAAUGAGGUUCAUGGAGUUUCAGUUCAGCUUCCUGAAUAGCUUUGGAGCGACCUGCUCUUAGAAGACAAUUUUGACGAGUAGGGUCAAAAUUGAUAGGAGCCCACUAGAUCGUAAAGAUAGAAGGAAAGUCACUCACACAUUGGUCAACGCAUGACCAGUAGUCAAAGUACUGCCCAGUGCAGUGCUUGUGACCCGUAUCAUCAUCUUUGACCCUCUGAAUGCAUUUCUGCGAGAAUUACAAACUUAUUCCCUGCCGAAGUAGUAAAAACUGAGAGUACUAAUGGGAGGGAAAAAAACCUGAAAAUAAACGAGAUCAGACAAAGGAGCAGAUAUGGAAAUGAGAAAGCGGAAAAAAUAAUUGAACAACGGAAGGGAGAAACGGUAACCAUCAAGGACACAUCAAAGCUCUGGAGUCUCAUUUUAGAAUUGUCAAUUCGAAGGGAGCGGCGUAGCCAUUUUUGAAUUGUUCAUCCCAUGUUGGCCUAGCCACCUCCGAUACAAAAAUGGGUACUGUGAUUCCGCAGGAUAAUUAACAUUUCUCCUUGAAAGUUUCUCCAUCAAGGAACAAGAGAGCAUGUUUCUACCAAAAUCACUCAACAUUUUCCUCCUUCAGCACGUAAAACUAGAUCAAUUAAUUGUAUCUACCCUCAUAAAAUUCCAAGUUAAUAUUACCAGAGAACAUGCUCAAGUUUCAUGGCAAGAGAACAUAUAUCAAAUACACAGUAUUAAAACAUAUAUAUUCUGAAGGACGUACUAUAUAAGUAGAACAUUAUAUCUCGUGCCAUACUAAAAAAAAAAGAACGAUCAUGAGCUCCAAGUCUGCAGAGAUUACUCGAGAAGUUACCCCAUAAUCAACCCAGCUUUUUACACAUUUUGGUUUGCAACCGUCCUCAAUGUACCGUUUUGGAUCAACUGGUUCAUCAUCCGCCCUGCAGAAUACCCGCGUAUGAGCAAGUAAUCGAGAACAAGUAGCAGGCUGCAAGGAAGCAGUAACAUGAUGGCGGCAUGUGACUCAACAAAUAUAUACAACCAAUGUCAAGACAGUAAGGUAAGGACAAUAGUUUUCAUGCAUUCUUUGUGCUCAUAAUUUUUCCUGCAACCCUUGUCCUAACGCAGGAAACAUUGAUUCCAACAACAUUUUUGAGAGCCUGAUGAAAUGGGACCCAUGGCUCACUAAUAGAUUCUCAAGUCCAUGAUGGAUGAUCAAGUUGGUGUCCGGAUUUCUGGAUGAUAAUCUAGUGGUCCUCCUGUUUUUCUUUCUACUGAGUAACUAAAUCAUAGAGUUAUGAACAGAGUUCUGUUUAAGUAUGAUAAGAUAUGGUCGACGGCCAUCCGCCCACGAAGAGCGGCGAAAUAACGACUGAGGAGAAAGUUAAAGAGCAGGCAAAUCUUCGAUCAACACCGAAUCUCGUUCGCCUGAUCACUCGUUUUACAUUGCAGACGCUAAGAAUUUACGAUCUAAUAAAUACGAUUAUCAUAACUGGAAAAUUAUCUAUAACCGUAAGCGAUGGAAGAACAAAAUUCCAGAAAGAGGGAAAAAGCAGAUGCAAAAUUUCUUUGAUCCAUUAUUGAAUCGGAACACUGACAUGGAGACCGAACGCUCGACUGGUGCUCGACCGGCCUGCAAGCAGAAUUCAACACAUUACCCGCAAUUCAACAAGAACCAAACCGGAUCCAGCUCAAACGUGAAAAUCCUCGUCGUAGAUGAGGGAAGAUAUCUUCGCGAUCAUCAAGAUGUGGACAGACUGUUCUGCAUUACGAGUUAUCUCGCGGACUUACCUUCUUCGCUCGCCGGGGGAUUCCCCUGCCAAGUACAGCCGGUGGAGGGGAUUCACAGGCGCCACCAAGAAGGUCCUAAUCUCGCUGUCCGUGCAAUCAGUCCACUGAACGGAAUCAACGGUCAGAUGAAAAACGGAACGACUGAUCUCAAAGAUCGUACGGUAGGCAUUAUUUGGCCGCAACUGCGCAGGGGCGACUCCAUUAACGCUAUUUCAACCACUCAACAGAGAGCACGGAGAUUGCCACGUCUGCUCCACUAUAUUUAAUCCCUUCCGUUGGAUGUUUUCGCAUCGGACGGUCAUAAUUUCACCGUGGGAUUUAAAAAUUUUCGAAGUCCCGCCCUCUUCCGUCUAUAAAUAGCACAAUUUCGCCAAUUUUUGAAGUCACGAAUCUGAGCGCCCUCUUCCUCCGACUUCCUUGAUCGCAGUACGUCUUCCUUGAACAGAGAUGGCGAGGACUAAGCAGACGGCCAGGAAGUCCACCGGCGGGAAGGCUCCCAGGAAGCAGCUGGCCACCAAGGCCGCAAGGAAGUCUGCUCCGGCGACCGGCGGCGUGAAGAAGCCGCACAGAUUCCGCCCCGGGACCGUGGCGCUGAGGGAGAUCCGCAAGUACCAGAAGAGCACCGAGCUGCUGAUCCGCAAACUCCCUUUCCAGCGCCUGGUCCGGGAGAUCGCCCAGGACUUCAAGACUGAUCUCCGCUUCCAGAGCUCCGCUGUUUCCGCUCUGCAGGAGGCGGCGGAGGCCUACUUGGUGGGGCUCUUUGAGGACACCAAUCUCUGCGCCAUCCACGCGAAGCGCGUCACCAUCAUGCCGAAGGACAUUCAGCUCGCUCGUCGGAUCCGAGGCGAGAGGGCCUAAGCGGAAGGGGUCUCUCCUCACGCGCGAUGGUCGCUACUGGCUUUAGAAGGCGAUCUAUGCGAUCUCGGUACCUAGGUCGGAAUACUCUCUAUGGCAAUGUGGCCUGAGAAGCCUGAUUUGUACAUCGUCUCUAGGAAAUUAUAGUCAUAGGUCUUCUCCUACGUGUACUCUCCUCUUCUCGGUCACCUCGAAUGCCGUAACCUGAUCUGUAUGCAAGUUUUCGGUCAUUAAAUCAGCGUUUCUGAUUCAUCUGGUUCAGCAGCACCUGGAGUUAUUUCAUUAGAAGGGUAUAAAGAGGGACACGGCCUUGACCUGGAAGAGAAUUCUGGCGCGUUCCUUGCCCAUCCUUAAAUGCGGCCCGUCUUCCCCGCUCUGGCUAGAUUCGCGUGAAACCAAAGCCGCGUCUUCUCCGAAGGUUUCAUCGUAGGGGGAUAAGUUGGGUGGGUAGAUCAGCCAGACGAGGUUCUUCGUAGAUGAAGAUCACGGCCCUCAUGAGAUCGUCCGCCUCAGGGAAGACCUCGUCGUCACCGACGUCAGCCGUUUCGGUUUCUUCCAGAGUUCGGCAGCUAGGGAAUUCAUCAUCUUUGUCAGUCGCACCGUGGCCAAGAGGACUCUUCCUGGCCAGCGGCAAUCUGUUCAGCAUGAAGGUACGUACAUCUUUCAUGUUCACUCCGACCUCAAUUCAAUGUACUUGUUUUCAGCCUGCGAGAACCCAAAAUUCCCUUCUUUUGUAUGAUUUCAUCUGGCGGCUUCUUCUCGGUAGAAAUUCGCCCCAAGUUUGCUCAUCUCUCUCUGAUCUCUGCUUCCAUAUCAUGGUUGUUCAUAUAGAUCUGUCGGUUCCCGACGUCGGUAUCUUGUAUACAUGUGCACCAGAACAAUUAAUAUGUGGCAAGUCAUUCAGGCUCUGUCACUUUAUUUCUAAUCUUGGGUUAUAUCUUGAACCCAGGAGUCAUUUCGUUGGGUGUCUAACCAAUCCCGUACCUUUUUUUUUCCUGCAUCUCUAAUCUCGUUUCCUUCAUCUUCUUUAACUGGUUCUCAAUUGAUUUACUGAACUUUUACGUUCUUCCAGGUUGAAGGCAAAUGAACCAACCUUGAGUAACCCACACAGAGGCACACUGAGGAUACCGAGGUAAUCUGUGUAAUACCAAUGCUCAACGACAUUUUCACGGCAACUCAUCUCCCCUUGUAUAGGCAGCCAUUUCAAGAAAAGCCUCAGUGACCUUCCCGGAAGAAACUCUGAAACACAACUGCGCCACUAUCUGUGAGACUCACUCGCGAUCUAAUCAACAGCUCUUUUCUAGCUGACAAGCAGUCUAGUAUGCCGUGUCUGUGCAUUGCUGUAGAACAUGCGCCGGCCUAGGUUCCUUGUCAAGAACCUCGCCCACCGGAUCACGGUGACAGAGUAGUAAUAAUGGCCCAAGUCAGUUUACUACCGUGAUGAUGGCAUAAGACUUCUGAUUAUUUACUACACUCCUUAUAGAUGGUUCCUAUGACUGGCCAUGCAAAUUUUUUUAUUUUUGCCAUGGAGAAAAACCUUAUGUGAUACUUACAUGUGGCCAUCAGCUGAGGGAGAAAAUGCUUAAAAUUUAGCCCUUUAAGAUAUUUACUCCGGCCCGUUGUUCUUUGAUAUGCUGAAAACUCUAAAUUUAUCUGAAUUUCAGAAUGUAUGGUUGGCCAUAAACCAGAAAAUUCCUUGCCGUGCAAUUCUUUUCCAUAUAUAGAGGAGAAACCUUGUUCUAAAUUACAUUGUUGUGAUCCCACUUGAGGAAAAAUCGGAAACAUUAUACUCGAUUUAUCAGGGUCUACUUUGCAGAGUACAAGGUGCGUUCUUUCUUCUAAAUAAGGUGGGUCGAUUUUGUUAAAAUGGUGUUAAUCUAUGUACUUCCAGUUCACUGCGAAGAUAGAAGCAUCUAUUUCUUGAUGUUGAUUUCUGUUUGAACCAGCUUGUCAUUUUCCAUAUCUUUACUUUCCUCGAAUGCAUUUUUAGUUUUUUUGUUCGAUUUAAUAUUUGAAAGCAUAGGUGAAUCGCCGAUGAUGUGAUUGUUAGAUCACAGCUAUGGCCCAUUCUGGGUCUGGCCUGUUAAGGGCUCGUAUAAACUCUUGUAUUUCUUUCCAUUUUGGGGGUGACGGGGGUACACGAGGGUUCCAUCUCUUCUUCACAUGAUAUCAGAGCCCUAAGGGCUCCGAUCAUUCGUUGCUGCCACGCCACCACCUUCAUUGCCGCCGCGCCGCCACUCUUCUCUUGACGCUGUCUUGCUCUCUGUGUCAUCCCCUAUUGGCACUGCCCCCCCGGUGUGCUUCAUUUCUUCAUGCGCCACCCUCCUUCAAGAGCUGCCGCCGCUCCCUAUUCGAAGUCUCCACCGAUUGUGUCGUCGUUGAAACUCAUGAUUAAGGUUUCUGAGAUCCUAAAUUGCAUCGAGUUGACUCAGUGAUCCAAUGAUAUCUCACGCUGUCCUACUCGGGACAGGACGACGAUCGGAUAGGACGGGACGCUGCACUUGAUCUGGUUCCACCUCUCAAGCUGUCGCUCUUCUCAUGCCGACACUGUGGGAUCAUCUUUGUCAAGCCCGACAGUUGCCUCUUUGACUUGUGCCUUGCCAUCUGAGAUUGUGCCAAUCACCUGUCAUGCUAUCAUUGCAUCUUUGACUCAGCCCGCCUAUGUUUUCGAUGGGCAUAAUUAUGGCUCAUGGGCAGCUUGAGUUUGAAGACUUCAAGCCCAUAAUCUCCUGCCUCAUCUGACCUCAUCUCCUCUAGCCAUGACUGCCCCCGACUAUCUAGUUUGGGCUCAGCUUAAUUUUAAUGUCCUUACGUGGAUGCGCCAGAGCAUUGCUCCCUUGAUCACUCAGCCUCUAGGUUAUCUCAAGUCCACUCAUCUCUUAUGGUAAACUCUUGAGACUAUGUAUGCCAAUAAGAUCAAUAUCAACUGCACGGUUGAGCUUUAUGAGUUUCUCUUUGAAUACAAUCAAGGCAACCAAACAUUUCAUGAGCAUUUCACCAUGUUUUAGGACAUUAUUAUAGAGCUCUCCAUUUAUUACCCUUCAACCACUGAUAUUCAUAGCUUGGAGUGUUAUCAUGAAGAGCUCUUUGUUGGGGAAUACCUCAAUGGCCUUUGCCCCAUGUUUGCCACUUAGAUUCGUGACUCAAGAAUUGUCAAUCACUUCGGUCUUCUAAUAUGCUCUUUGGCACACUAGUACUCCUUCCACCCAUGUAUUGUCUACCUUACCAUACCCCUCUAACUUGAUUAGAUUUGGAGCUUGUGAUGGCUGAGACCUCAAACCAUUUGAUAAAGGCAAAGGAGCAACUAAGGGUAAAAAUGGGUUCCCACCAUGUAUCUACUGUGGCAAGAUAAUGUGACAAGAUGAGUUAUUCACUAGAGAAAUGUUGGAAGGAAUUUGGCAAGCUCAAGUGGGCUCAAGUGGCUGUCUCCACCAAGUCAUAUAGUGCGGCUCCUUCUCCACCUCUCGUCCUUCCUUCAGUGACACCAUCAGCUCAAUGAUUCAUAUGACUAUGACUCCCAUGGAAUAUGAAGCAUGGAAGCAAGCUCAAGCUCCACCUUCUCAUGCUCACUCAUCUGUAGUCUUGCCUCUACAUCAAGUACACAUGCCUUACUUGCAUCUCAUACAUCUUGAGUUAUCAACUCAAGGACCUCUACCCAUAUGACUAGAUCUCCUUUUAUCCUUCAAUUUGUCACCCCUACCUCUACCUAUUUUCCAAUUUUUAUUGUUGAUGGUCAUUAUUGCCCCAUCAAAGGGUAUGAAAUGACCUCUCUACUCCCACCUUGCUAUUAUGGGAUGUUUUCUAUGUUCUUAGUUUUCAUACCAACCUUCUAUCCAUUAGUGCCAUUACAUAAGCAUUAAAUUAUGUUACUAUCUUUUUUCGUUUUCAUUAUCUCUCAUGACUUACAUACUAGACGGAGGAUUGAUUUGGGACAUGAGAAUGAUUGUGGCAUUUAUGAGCUCAUUUUUUAUUCUCCUUCCUUAAGACUUCUCACUUUGUUUGCCUCUUCUACUUCCACUUCUCUUUUGUGACAUCAUCAUUUGAGAUAUCUAUGUUUUUCAAAACUUAAAAAAUCACUUCCACAACUUUGUCUUUCUGAGUUUGUGUGUAAAUCAUAUCAAUUAGGUAAACAUCAUCACUCUACCUAUCUACCUCUAGAUGUUAUUCCAUCUUCUAGGCCAUUUGAUCUUAUUCACUAUGAUGUGUGAGGUCUUUCAUAUGUAGCCUCCUUGAUGGGUCAUCUCUACUACAUUAUCUUUGUUGAUGAUUAUACUUGUGCUAGUUGGAUAUAUCUAAUCAAAGAUCACUCUCAAGUUAUGAAUAUUGUUCAUCAAUUUCUUCUGGAUAUCAUUACACAAUACUCAUCUACACCCAAGAUCCUCUAGACGAAUAAUGUCUUGGAGUUGGUCCAAGGUGCCCUUCAAUAUUUUUGCACAGAUCAUGGUAUUAUACACCAUACAUCUUGCCCUCACACCUCACUGCAAAAUAAAGUCACCGAAAGGAAACAUCAACACUUUCUUGACAUUACUCAUACACUCAUUAAAAUGAAUGUCCCCCACUACCUUUGGUUCAAUGUCCUUCUCACCACCACCUUUCUUUAUAAUCACCUACCUUUGUCUCCUUUCAGUGGUGCAAUUCCACUACAUCAUGUUUCUCCUAAGGUUAACCUCUUUCCACUACCCCCUCGUGUCUUCAAUUCCACGGCCUUCAUUCAUAAACAUUCUUCAUCUCUCUCUAAGUUAGCCCUCACACCCUAAAAGACAUCUUUGUUGGCUACUCUUGCAUGUAGAAGGGCUACUAGGUUUACUAUCCUAACACUCCUCACUAUGUUACUUCCACUAAUGUCACUUUUCAUGAGAAUGUCUCUUUCUUUUCUUCCUCUAUUAUGCCUUCUCCAACGUCCUCCUCUCCACCUUCUAGCUUCCCUCCAUGUUCCUCAUCUUUGUCACUCUUGGUGAUUUAUGCUUCUGUUAUGACACAAUAACCCCCGCCAUCUACAUCGCCUAAUGUCGUAGUCAUGUCUUAGUCCGUCUUCUCUACUCUGUUAUCUUCAUCUCCUUCCUCUACCUCUUUGUCUUCCCUUCCUUCAUCCACCUCUUCUACACCUAAUGACCUCCACCUCCCCAUUGCCUUACACAAAGGCACCCGUUCUUACACUCAACAUCCCAUAUCCCACUUUGUUUCUUAUACUUGCCUUUACCCCUCCUUUACUAUGUUUGCCCUCUUCGUCUUGACUAAGUCAGUCCUUGAGAUAUACUAGGCUGCCCUUUAGAUUCUUGAAUGAAAACCUACGAUGAACAUUGAGUAUAAUGCCUUGAUUUAAUGGGGCACCUAAUAGCUUAUUCCUCGACCUUGAGAGACUAAAUUGUGACGUGCAAAUGACAUCAUUGUUCAUCACAAAGCUCAUUUUGUGGCCUAGGGAUUCACUCAAGCCUCUAGCAUUGACUACAUGAAGAUCUUUUCUUCCAUCGUUCAUCCUAACUCCAUCCGUGUACUUCUCUUUGUGAUAGUAAAUCAAGUGUGGCCCCUACAUCAAUUGAACGGCUCCAACACAUUCCUCUAUGGUGAUUUAGUUGAACAAGUCUACAUUGAGCAACCUCUAAGGUAUGUUGCUCAAGGGGAGACUCAUGUGUGCUUACUCAAACGACUCAUUUAUGACCUCAAGUAGAGUUUGCACACCUAGUUUUGUGAAGUUCACUCGUCUUCUUACUACCUAUGACUUUGCUCUAUGCAUGAUUGAUCUGAUUGUGAUGUGCAAGACCACAUCAAGUGGGAGUUUGGUCAUUGUAGUCUAUAUUAAUGAUAUUCUUCUAACUAUCAGUGAUGAUAUAAGCAUCUAUGCAAUGAAGUCAUAUCUUCAUUAGUACUUUGUCCCCCCCCCCCCCUUACUAGUACUUCUUUGAGAUUGAGUUUACCUACCGAUAGAAGAAGCUAGCUUUCUCCCAAAGAAAGUAUGCAUUGGAUCUCCUUUAUUAUACUAAGUUGUUAGGGUAUAAACCUGUUUUGUCANNNNNNNNNNNNNNNNNNNNNNNNNNNNNNNNNNNNNNNNNNNNNNNNNNNNNNNNNNNNNNNNNNNNNNNNNNNNNNNNNNNNNNNNNNNNNNNNNNNNNNNNNNNNNNNNNNNNNNNNNNNNNNNNNNNNNNNNNNNNNNNNNNNNNNNNNNNNNNNNNNNNNNNNNNNNNNNNNNNNNNNNNNNNNNNNNNNNNNNNNNNNNNNNNNNNNNNNNNNNNNNNNNNNNNNNNNNNNNNNNNNNNNNNNNNNNNNNNNNNNNNNNNNNNNNNNNNNNNNNNNNNNNNNNNNNNNNNNNNNNNNNNNNNNNNNNNNNNNNNNNNNNNNNNNNNNNNNNNNNNNNNNNNNNNNNNNNNNNNNNNNNNNNNNNNNNNNNNNNNNNNNNNNNNNNNNNNNNNNNNNNNNNNNNNNNNNNNNNNNNNNNNNNNNNNNNNNNNNNNNNNNNNNNNNNNNNNNNNNNNNNNNNNNNNNNNNNNNNNNNNNNNNNNNNNNNNNNNNNNNNNNNNNNNNNNNNNNNNNNNNNNNNNNNNNNNNNNNNNNNNNNNNNNNNNNNNNNNNNNNNAGGAGAGAGAGAGAGAGAGAGGGCAGUUGGACGGUCACAUCUCCCUAGGACAUCCCUAUCCACGGACCCGCCACGUAGUUUCCAGCCCUCACAUCCCUAUCCCUUCCCGCCCACCAGCUCUGCUCCGCACGUUGCGCUGUACGCACAGGCGCCACCGUCCCCGUCAUCCUCGGCUUCCCCUCCUUCCUCUCUCUUCCGCCGACUGGGAACUCCCGGUGGCGGUGUUGUCGGCAGCGGCGGCGGCGCUCCCUCUCUCUUGCUCUCGCUCUUAGGCGCCAUGGACCACGCGGCGGAGGCGCACCGGACGGACCUGAUGACACUGACGAGGCACGUCCUAAACGAGCAGUCGAAGCACCCGGAGUCCAAGGGCGACUUCACCAUCCUCCUCAGCCACAUCGUCCUCGGCUGCAAGUUCGUCUGCUCCGCCGUGAACAAGGUGCGAUCCUCCGCCGCUGCGAUCAUUUCUGAUGGUGAUGAUCCCCAGUCGGUCAUUCCAUUCCCUCUGUGAAUAAUGUUCUGGUAUUGAUCCGCGAUCGGCUUCCCCCUCUCGGUGAUGCCGCCUCACUUUUCCGUGGCCAAAGCUCCGAUUUGACUUGGCGAUUCCUUCUUCAAUUAUCUAGAAUCGAGCGAGAUCUCCGAUGCAUCGAGGAAUUCGAUGAUUCCGCUCCAAAUGCCUCACGAUAAUUUUGUCCGCUGCGACUCGGCCUCGUCAGAUAGCCUAGGAUUCAUCCGGCUAUGGUUUCUCCCCUCCCCAUCCUCAUCAUAUAAGGACGGUUUCUUUUCGCAGGCUGGCCUCGCGAAGCUCAUCGGACUUGCUGGAGACACCAACGUCCAGGUAGAACUCUCUUACUCAUCUGUUCUCGACUAGAGGGAUCGCCUCUCAUCUGAACUGUUCUUAUCAGAAAAUGCGAUUGAUAUCUUCAUCUAAAGCAAAUCACACUGAAGGCACUGCGUUAGGUCACAGAUCCGAUCACUUCCGAGAGCUUGGUUUCUUCUCUGAGAAUAGCGAUGCUGUCUCUGUAUGAUUCAGGGCGAGGAGCAGAAGAAGCUCGACGUGCUCUCGAACGAGGUCUUCAUCAAGGCCCUGACUAGCAGCGGCAGGACGGUGAGUCUCCGCAGCCGAUCCUAUUUACUCACUGCGUCGGAGAGAACUCCGCCCGGUCACACCAGGAACAAACUGACGAGAUCCAGGGAAUGACCGCCAGUGCGUUCUCGUCUCCGAGGAAGACGAAGAAGCCACCGUCGUCGACCCCUCGCUCCGCGGAAGGUCUCCACCCGCCCGUCCUCUUUCCUCCUUGGGCAAACCUGCUGCUGCGGCCUGUGACAAGAUCUCCUUUCCUUCUGCCGUAGGUACUGCGUCGUCUUCGACCCUCUCGAUGGCUCCUCCAACAUCGACUGCGGCGUCUCCAUUGGAACAGUGGGCUCCCUCUCUCCCCCAUCAGACCGUCACAUCUCCCUCUUCCUCCCCACAGAAGAUACUCAUCUCUCUCUCUCUCUCUAGAUUUUUUGGGAUCUACAUGAUAAAGGACAAGAACAAGGUGACGGUGGAGGACGUGCUGCAGCCGGGGAAGAAGAUGGUGGCGGCAGGGUACUGCAUGUACGGGAGCUCUUGCAUGGUAUGCCGAUCAUGCAUAAGAUGAUCCAGUUUCUUCAUACGCAAUCGUGAUCCCCGAGGCUCUAUUCUACGUUGCAGCUCGUGCUGAGCACCGGAAGCGGCGUCAAUGGCUUCACCCUCGACCCAUCUCUCGGGGAGUUCAUACUCACGCACCCAAACAUCAAGGUACGCUGAAAGAGGAAAAAAACACGAUCAAUAUAUCAGCAUUUCUUUCAGAGUUAUCAUCUUGAAGUCCCCUCUGCAGAUUCCGAGGAAAGGAAGCAUAUACUCGGUGAACGAGGGCAACGCCAAGAACUGGGACGAACCCACAGCGAGGUACGAUGAACACCGUUGACUCCCCAUGUCUGGCGUCGGAACUCGUUGACUUGACACGUUUCGGUCAAACAGGUACGUCGAGAGGUGCAAAUUCCCCGAGGACGGAUCGUCUCCCAAGUCCCUCAGAUACGUCGGAAGGUCCUUCCCCCCUCCCUCCUCCCUCCUCCCACCUGCCAUCUCUUGCCUGUUCUUGACGGUCGCCGUCGUUCUUCGAGGGCUGCAGCAUGGUUGCCGACGUUCAUCGGACUCUGCUCUACGGAGGCAUCUUCUUGUACCCUGCGGACAAGAAGAGCCCCAAUGGGAAACUCCGGUAUGUCUGAAUCACUCCACCUCCACCCUCACCGACUGACUGGCUGGCUUGUGGGACUUACCACGAUGGCCUCUCUGUGGCGCAGAGUCCUCUAUGAAGUCUUCCCCAUGUCGUUCCUCAUGGAGCAGGCCGGAGGGCAAGCCUUCACCGGCAAGGAACGGGUAAAUACUGGCACAGCACCCUUGAUUUGUCACUUCUCUCUGUCAAUUGCGGUCGGGAUAUGAACUCGAGGAUGCCCUCCAAAUGGUUUCUGGCAGGCGCUCGACUUGGUUCCCACGAAGAUCCACGAGAGAUCUCCGAUUUUCCUGGGGAGCUACGACGAUGUUGAGGAGAUAAAGGCCCUAUAUGCUUCUUCAGUGGAGAAGAACGCCUGAUCCGCGUCCUGUUCAUCUUCUUCAUCCUCGUUCUCCCUUCAUGUGGUGUUAUUAUCCUCUCCCAUCCCCGGACAAAGGCUGCAGGAAAUUCCAGAAACCGUGGAGAUUCAGGCUCCCUGUGCAAGAUAAUUCCAUGGCCAUCGCUUGAGAAUGGCAGCGGAUGUGAAUAAGAAACACGGUCACCAUUGAUCGGCUCAGGGGGGGUCAUCAAACAGAGCCUUGUAGAACCUCCGUCUUUCUUCCGGCUGGUAAACCCUAGACGGUUCCACGGUCUCCUCCCCGUCUCGUGAGGUCCCCUUCCCCCCCCUCAGCGGGGCGACCUCCCCCUUCUUCCUCUUCUUCUCCAGAUUCGCCAGGUGCCGCCUCCUGUUGUACUCGUGCAGCCCUUCCUGCAUCAACUCCCCCAGCCUCUCCUUCGCGACCACCAGGGGGUGCUUCUCCACCAGCUCCGACCCGCUGUAUCCUUCCCUGAGGAGCACGGUGUAGAUCUUGUACCGGUUGGACACGUAGAAGAUGCAGGGGUGCCGGAGAAGCAGGCUCCCCACCCUCUCCGGCAAGGAGAACUCCCGCCUGAAGUGCCCCAACUUGACGAUUGACAGCUUCUUCCACAGGGUGAGGGAUAGCAGCUCGUGGACCAUUCCGACGGCCCGCUUCUCCGACUCCAUCUGCUCCGCCGAGUAGGGCGAGAUGUAGGGCGUACCUUCGUUGAAGGCGUCGAAGCUCGCGCGAGAUUUGAUCCAGGUCGGCGGCAGCGAGCAGAGGAAGAGGGGCGGGGUCUUGCGCUCCGCGGCCAUGGCCUCCACGGCGGAGACCGCCAGAUCGGCGUCCCACUGGAGGAGCUCGAUCUCCAUCGAGUUCCUUCUCCCGCUUCCAUUCGCGAUCCGGAAGACGUCCGAGUGCUUGAGGACGAUCCUCAGCACGUAAUCGUCCGGCAGCCCGAAGCUCCGCUUCAGCUCGUUCAGCUUGACCACGUUCAGCCGGUGGUCGCGGGCGAGCAUCAGGAGCUUCGCGAGCCGCCGCGCCAUGUCCUCCUCCGCUACCUCCCUGGUGGCCUCCUCCUCCUCGACGAGGGCGGCCAUGCGCUUGGAGAAGCCGUAGAGCAUCUCCCCGCUCCCGGCGGGAUCGAGGAAGGUUUCAAAGCAGCAAGGAUACUUGUGGAGCCAGUUCAGAGCCCGCCCCUGGAGAUCGAGCGUCUUGAAUCUCUUCUGGAGGGACUGCACUGUGGCGACGCGGCCAGGGCACCGAAGCAGGAUGUUCUUGAUCUGGUUGUUCACGAUCCAGCGGCGAUUGCGGGAGAGCGCCUUCUCCAGCGCGGGGUCCUUCGUCAUCGACCAGACGGAACGUCUCCAUUGGAGGCAGAACGGGGGAGCACGGCUUGGGCUAGAGUUUAGCGGGCUAGGGUUAGGGUUUUGGGGGCGGAGGCGGGGGAGAGCGAGGAGGCGGACGAUGGAGGUCCAGGCCCCCUUUAUGGCCAUCGCGAGGCUGCGAAAGCGGAAGGAGAACCCUCGGCCACGAUCGCUGGACUCUGAGACUAUACAGAUCCUCUAGAAUCCAUUCCGGAAACCGCGCCUUGCAUUAUACUGAGGAAGAAUGCAUUAUCACAACUUAUUCUCAGAAGCCUUCCGAAGCAACCGAAACUACGACGGGUUGUGCAGCGGGAAUUAGCGCAAUAUUAUAAAUCUGAUUUUUAAUAAAAUAACUCUCGGGAAUUCGUUAAUUUACGGGUCCUCGCGAGGGGAAAAUCCAAAAAACCCGACGUUUUUUUUAAUUCCCCCGUGAAAUAAUCAAUUCAAGAAAAUAGUGCAUUUUAGUGGAUUUGAUGAUAAACUAUCGUUGACCUGUUAAUGAAGUAUGAACUAACUAGAGAGAGAUAGAGUGGAUAAAUAUUUGUGUAUAUAUAUUUUUUAAAUUAAAAUGCAUAUUUUCAUUUAUAAUAUUGGGUUUUUAUAGUUACUUUAUUCAGUAAAAAAUAAAAUACAAAAUAUAGAUAUUUAAAAUUUAAAAAUAUCAAGUAUUUUAAAGUAAAUCACCGUACGUUAGCCUUCAGCAAUAUUAUCGGCAGCAUGGUACGUUACUCCUCAGGAAUACGUACUGUAUCUCUUCGUCUCUCUCUCUCUCUCUCCCUCGCUCUCUCUAGCAAUGCAAAUGAAAACUUCCAUCAAAGAAUCUAUCACGACCAACAUCACCAAAGUCCUCAUCAGAUUUCCUCACGAACGGGGAAUCCGAGAGGGGCAAAUCCUCGGGGCAACUAUUGCUCCGCGCUGCAGUGGAACGGAUUCGGAGCGCGUAGCCACGUCAUUGGCGUUCCUCAGGAGUUCUUCCGUGUCGGGAGGUUGUGUAGUGCCAUGGAUCCCGUUACAACGGUGAGAUUUUCACGCUCCUCUGGCAAUCCUCUGAACAUUAUUUGCUGCCUGGGGUAGGCGAAAUAAAGCGAGAGUGAAAAUUUGGCGGAGUACCUGAUCCUUCUCCGACGUCUCUCUCUCUCUCUCUCUCUCUCUCUGACCCAGGAUCUGAGAAAACAAAGGCGAAACAGCAAGGAAUACGCGAAGGGGGGAAGAGAGAGAGAGAGAGAGAGAGAGAGAGAGAGAGAGAGGAGGAGGGNNNNNNNNNNNNNNNNNNNNGGAGAGAGAGAGAGAGAGAGAGAGAGAGAGAGAGAGAGAGAGAGAGAGAGAGAGAGAGGGGGGGAUGUCGACCGAUAGUGAUGACCUCGACGAGGAUGAGCUGCUCCAGAUCGCGCUGAGGGAGCAGGCGGAGAGGGACCUGAGUUACAACAAGCGGUCCAAGGGAGGGCGGCCAGUCGUCAACCUCGUCCAGCCCCCUCCGCCUCCCCCCUUCAUGGCGAACAGCAGCCAGAGGAAGGCCAAUUCGGCGUCGAAUUCUGCCGUCAGGAAGGCGCAGCAGAAGCCGCAGAGGGGCCGUGCGGAUGCGGAUGACGACUCGGAGGUCGAGCUUCUCAGUAUCUCAUCGGGGGACGAGGACAACUCCAAGGGCAGGGGCCCUCCACCGAAGAGUCGCGGGGUUGUUGGGGAGAAGAAAGGUGGGAAAGGCGAUCUCGGAAAUGGUUAUUCCGUUUGGGAUGGUGAUGAGCCAGCCAGUUGGAAACGGGUCGACGAAGCAGAGGUAUUUCUUUUUUACGUGGAUCUUUGUUGCAUCACGGAUUUAUUCAAUGAUUUGGUUUGCGCCUCGCGGCUGGUAAUGUUAUUCCACAUUUAUGCAGCAUCUCUAUAAUUAUCGUUAUAUUUCUCUCCAUAACUACCAGUCAGAACAAAUCUAGGUAUUUUUUCUAUUAAUGCAGGUCUUAUAUCAUCGUCAUUAGCACUUUAAAAAUCAGUUAACAUCAUACGACUAAUUCAGAUGUGUUGUUAUAUAAUCCAAUCUGAGCAACACCGCUUUUCUCACUGCAAAUGCCUUUGUUUUCAUUCGUCCCUUAAAAGCAUAGGAACAUUUUUUUCUCUUUUCUUUAUAGAUUUCCCGGGCUAUAGUUUUUGAUAUUCCAUUUAUUUCAGAAGCUACGAAAGCUUGUAUAUCGAGGAGUUAAAAAAUCUUCUGUUGAACCAGGAAAGAAAUAGACGUAGUUCUUGUGUCACAGUUUAUCUUUAGAGAUCCUGCAUUCUUGAUCAAUGGCCUUUUUGACGCGAUUUAUUGGGUUUUGGGGUUAGCGGUGGACUAUCCAGUUCUAUCUUUAUUAUUGACUUCGUGUUAGUAUUUCUUGGUCCAAGACUACAAAAAUGUCUGACCUUUAGUAUUAAAGAGGUAUUACUAUCCUUCACUUUUAAAACUUUCGACGUUCAGCUCCCUGCUAUUCCUUUGAACAAAAUCGGUGAGUUACGUUCUUGAUAACAUACGCAGAUAAACAGUGACCGAAGAUGAUGUUAAGAAUGCAUAUAUAUGCAUGUCGGAAUGCAUAUAAGUCGCCUGUUGUGUUGGCUGAUUCUGAUUGUUGAUCUAGUUCAAAGGAGGCGACCUCUAUCGUACUUUUAUAAUUUUGUGGGGAUAACUUGCCAAUUCUUGGUCGACCCAGUUCAUCUUCCAAUCCGUAUAUGGGAACCAUGGCAUAUGUGCAUGGGAAACUGAGGCAAUGUUGAAGUAUUAAGUAUAAAUAGUUUCAAGAAAAGAAGGGGCAUCUGAUGGAUUUUUUAAGAACAUGAUCCAAUCGUGGAGUUUCUGCUCAGGCAAUUCCCCAUGCGAUUAAUAUCUAUCAAAGUUGGGUACUCUAGAAAAUAUGAGCCCUUGUUCAUUUGAAAACCCUGAUUUAUAUGGCGCACUUUCUUUUCAUGUUAUAUGUAAGUAAGUGGGUUGUCUCUACGAAUUUUUUUACUCAAGAUAUAAUUUUACCUUCAUGAUAUCAAUUUUUUUCUUUUCUUCUCAGUAUGCUGUCCAUAAUUCAUUGCAUUGUAUUAAUGUACUUCAUUGCAAUGACAUUAUAAAAGUUUCUGCCAUGUAAGAGACAUGGAAAACCUUUAUUGGGAGAUUCACAUUCUUUUUCCUUUUUUAUCCUUAAGCUUGCUCGCAGGGUCCGUGAAAUGAGAGAAACAAGAGUAGCAUCUGUGGUUGCAACUUUAGAAAAGAAAGCAUCGGCACUGGGUCCAAAAGUGCUUGCCAGCCUACAGUCCAUGCCUCGAGGAAUAGAAGCUCUGGAUCCCCUUGGAUUGGGGUAAAUCUUCUGGAGCUUUGCUAAUUUUACAUAUUGCAUUUGAUGAUCAUGAAAGCAGUUUGGGUGGUUGUAUGUUGGAGAUGCCAAAAUCAUUGGGUGUGACUUUGUUUAUGUCAUUAUUUACUGUUUGCGGUGUUAUACAGAUGUGGCUUUUGAUCUCUCUCUUUUAAUGUAGUCUUUUCUUUUAGCUGUCUAGUUGUUUCUCAUUCAUUGUCUCACAGCCAGAAGAAUGAACUUGCUUUUCUCCGUUGUCGUUAGUUUUCUCCAUUGUGUUGCAUGUUUAUCUUUGCCAAGUUGGUUUCAAUGAAGAAGAAGGAUUCUACACAGAUGAUGCGAUUGCUCUUCAUAAAGCUCUAGUGAGCAUAUUUCAUUGAAAUUAUCAUUAUAGAAAAAUUGAGUUGAACAUGUAGUGCAGAGAAAUAGAGAAAGAAAAGACAGGUAAGAAAAGGGACAUCUGAGGGAUCAGGAGAAUAUGGACCUGGAGAAGGCAGUUGAAGAGAUGGACACAUAAGAGAACUUAUUGACUGACUAAAAAUACCUGACAUUUUCCAUUCCCUAACUGAAGAUCAUGUUGGCAGACUGUAUGCCAUGUUUUCUGAAUCUUUAUUAUUGACAUGUUGCUUUCAAUCAAUGAGUCUAAGCCUCACACCACUGUGGACGUUCCCCCUAGGAAGUAGUUUUUAACAUUACUUCGUUAGAGCUCUCAACUCUUUAUGUCGUUGCCAUGUAGCAUGAGCAUUCUAGAAUAUGGUGAUGUGGAUAUACAACUUGUGGGCAAAAUUUAGCCACAACAAAAUGGUGGUAUUACCCUUCUACUCAAGUGAACGAGUUGUACGUGAAGUAAAUGAAUUGGCCCCGGUGAUCGGAGGUUCAAAGCAUAUUAGAUAGGUUCUCCUCUAAAGUUGGAUAAUAGUUAUAUUAUUAUAUCUUUUUUCGUGAGUAAUAUCUCCUAUCCUUAUGCUUUUUGCUGCAAAUUGGCAGGAUAAUAGACAGCAGGACGUUGACAUUGAUCACUGAUGAUUCAGAAAGUACCCCAGUUAGCCUUAAAGCCAAGGGUGACAGAGAUAAUCUAGAUCCAAGCAUCCGUGGUAUGUAAUUUUUUUUUGCCUACUUUUUGGUUCAAUAUAUGAAGAAAGAAUAUAGGUGGCCUAGAGUUAAAGUGUGAGUUUCUUAUAUCCUUUUAGUCAUCUUUAUGAACCUAAAUAUAUCAUUAGUAAUGUCUUCUCACAUCUUAUAUCUCUGUCCCUGAGUCCAACAUUUCAUUAUUUGCAGAAAAGAUUAUGUACUACUCUGAAGAUUUUGAUGCAAGGCUCUUCUUGUCCCGAGUACACAAAGAUACAAGCUCUGCCGACCUUGAGUCUGGUGCACUCACAUUAAAAACAGAUCUCAGAGGAAGAACACAGCAAAGGAAGCAAUUAGUCAAGGAAAACUUUGACUGUUUCGUGUCUUGCAAAACCACCAUUGAUGGUAUGUCCUUAUUGCCUGAACAUUAUACAACUGACAACUACAUUAUUAGAAAUGAGUUUAUGUUUUGUCUGUUUUCCGCGUAUUUUUAAAGUUUGAAUGAUUGUGCAAGAUUUCCAGGCACAAAUUCGCGUGGUUCUGUUGUUAAUGCGCAUCCAGUUCCUGUAAUCUUGUAGUUUGUUAACCUCUGCAGAUAUUGAGUCAAAGUUAAGACAGAUAGAGGAGGAUCCCGAAGGUUCAGGAACCACCCACCUUUGUACUGCUAUACAGAAUAUUAGUUUAUUGGCAAACCGUGCUUUUCAGCCUCUUUUUGAGAGACAGGUAAAAAGACAAGUCGAUCGUUUUCUUUCUGUAGUCCUAUCAUACUGUCUAUUGUCUCAUAUGACAUCAUGUUCUCGUUGCAUGAAUUCAGGUUCAAGCUGAAAAAAUCAGAUCUGUGCAAGGAAUGCUUCAAAGAUUUAGAACUCUCUUCAAUCUUCCCAGUGCAAUUCGUGGGAAUAUCAGUAAGGGUGAAUAUGAUUUGGCUGUCAGAGAGUACAGGAAGGCGAAGUCUAUUGUUCUGCCCUCUCAUGUAUGUCACCAAUUAUCUGCGUAGUUUUCUUUCCUUGAUCAGUUUGCCCUUUUUCAUUAGUAUUUAUUUUCAGAUUAUAUUUUUAUCGUCUGGAUGCUUCAUUUGUCGUUAACGGUGAUUUUUUGUUGUCCUUGUGAACAACUUACGUCGUUUUAUUCUAUCAUGACAUCAAGAUGAAGUUAUUUGAUUAGAUGCUUUACAAUUUUUGAUUUUUCUAGCAAUGUUGCAUUAACUAUUUAACUGUGAUCCUCAACUGUAUCCUGGAAUUAUCGGAUGAAUGUGUUUAUGAAUUUAUGGUAUUAAUUUAUUUAUAUUGUAGAAUAGUUUAUUUUUUUGUUCUUGUGUUUGUCGGUACUAAGAUCAAUCUUUUACUAUAUUGUGUUUGGCAUUCAGGUGGGAAUACUAAAACGUGUGCUUGAAGAGGUUGAAAAGGUGAUGCAAGAGUUCAAGACAAUGCUUUAUAGAUCAAUGGAAGAUCCACAGCUUGAACUUGCUGAUGUAUGUCGCUUCAUUUUAUUAUAAUUAUCAAACAAAGUAAAGCUUAUGAUGGAAGUCAGUCAAGUGUUUUAGUGAUCAUUCACUUUUUAAGUGUUAUUAUGUCCUGUGCCAUGAAUUUCAUAUUCACUAGCACAUUUUCAGCUCCCUAAACAUGCGCUAAGUGAUGUGACAGUGGACUGAGGGUUAUACUCUACCAGAAGACGAGAUCUCAAAUAUAAUGGCGAAUGAAGAUGGCAACCAUAGGCUUGAUGACUGAGGAACGUGGAUCUUUGUUAUAAUUCAUGAGAGAAUAAUCCGAAGAUCCCACAUAGAUAAUAAUAUUCUUGUAUUUUCAUUUUAGCAGAAUUAUUAUGAUUAUCAUUAAUACUAAUGUUACCUCUGAAAGUAAAACACUGUUCCUCAAAACUAGGAUUCACCAAUUAAACCCUGAUUCCUCUUCUUUAUGCAAAAUUUUUAGUGGAUAAUGGUUAAAUUAACCAGCAUGUCCUAAAUAGAUCGUAUUUCUUGUUAUUGUUUUACUUGGCUUCUCAGACUUGCUCACAUACCCUUUUCUUUAGGAUUUUCUUUUUUCUCGGAAAAUAAAAUUCUUAACAACUAUUACUUAUCUUUCACCAUUUAUUCUUUUAGCUUGAAAACACCGUCCGGUUGCUGUUGGAGUUGGAACCGGACUCAGAUCCUAUCUGGCAUUUUCUCAAUAUUGAGGUACUAGCUAGGGAAUUGAUUUCCAUCUGUUCACGAACUUAUUGAUGUCUAAUACUUCUCAUGUUCUAACUUUUUUCUCAUUAAUUUUUUUAUGAGUUCAAAGUCUUUAUUCGCUGUUUUCAUGUCUCUUUUGACAGAAUCGUAGGAUUCGUGUUCUUCUCGAGAAAUGUACUUCAGAUCAUGAAACACGAAUGGAAAUGCUCCGGAAUGAAAUAAAAGAGAAAUUGCAGUCUGAUGUGAGAUGGAGAGAACUUCAACAAAAUUCAAAGAAGUCGGUAAGUUCCUCACAGUUGAUGAAUUUCAGUUUUUAUGUUGCAAUUUUUAAUGAUGUUUAUCUUCUUGUGCGGACUAGUUAUUUGUUGUUAGAUUGGUUUAUCAAUUAAUCAUAAGCCCUUAUUCUACGUGUCUGAGAUUGUUCAAAAUUAAAGAUCGUAAGAAGGAUGGAAAAGUACUGGACAAUAAUUUUUUGAUUCCAGCCUUAUGUCACCCUACAUAUUUCGCCGAAUACAGACUUUCUAAGAAAUCUUUUUGAACGGAAGACCGUUUAGUUUCAAAGUACGAUUUGGUUGCUGGUUAAGGUAAAUUUCAUCAAGAAAAAGCUUUAGAAUAUGCAUAUAUAUAGCUGAUAUAUGCUGAAUAUAUACACAUAUAUAUUGACUACAAUGCAUAUGUGCGCCUAUAUGUAUCCUCAAAAGUGUAAGACAAUCAUAAGAAAAAGAAGAUUCUAGACUGUAAGGUGUAAAUUCACGUCACAUGAAAGGAAUGCUUAAUUUGUUAUUCUGAAGUCCUGUCAUGGUUUUACUCUUCUACAUUUUCUGGCCCUCAGCUACUUCUAAUAUCAAGUCGGCAUCAAUAACUUAUAAUCUGGUAGAACACCAAUUGGAACUGAAAAGGAAGCACUCCUAGAACAAAGAAACAAGUACAAUAGAACAAUAACACAGAGGGUAGAAAUGACCAGUCGGAGUGACUGAUCACCUUGGAGGAUAUUCGAGAGAUCCUCCCACUCUCCACUAGGUCCGUUCUCCCCGGAUGCCCCCUCUUGCCAACCUCCCUUCCUACUUAUACCUCCUUGGUCCGUUGUGUGCCAUUACCUCUAACCGUUUCCUGGGAUUGGUCCCACUCUUCUGUCAGUUACUGACCCCGUCGGUCCACCUCCUCUGUCAGUUACUGACCCCGUCGGUUCACCUUCUGUCAGUUGGGAACCCUUCUUAUGAUGUCGCCGAUAUGUUAGUAUCGGAGUCAUACCAUAAUCAUUUUUCUAAUCUCUCUCCUCGUAGUAUCAUUAACACAAAUAGCCAUAUUCCGAUCACAUAUGCUAGUAGAAACAUUGACAUUCCUUGGUAUCUUUUCUCUGGAAACUUCUCACUGGGGCAAAUUUAUCAUUUAGAUGCAUAUUAUGUUGUAAACCUUCUCUCCAUGCAGCAAACCAACCCACAGAACUAUUUACUAGAAAAUUUCAUCACGUAAAAAAAUGCUUGGCUAUCAUACUAAAUUCCUGGCGGUGUUAUAUUUUUAUUGGCUCUUUUUGUUCGUUGUUAUACCAUUAAGGACAUAUCAUGGGACUAUGCUCUUUGAUACUGGUGUUGGAAAAUGUUUUUUGUAUACCUUGACUGAAAACAUCUUAUUGGUCCUUUGAAAUGAAGUUAUUAUCAUUGUUAAAUGUUCUUGCAUUCAUUCCUUCUUCAUUCUCCCCGUCUGACGUGGAUCCAUCCUUUUAUGGGGAUGUCCAGUCGCCAUCAGAUGCCUCUCUAGACUUAACUACUGAGGAAGUUGAUGCUCUGAGAGGAGGAUAUAUCCGCAGGCUAACUGCUGUACUUAUCCACCAUCUGCCAGCGUUUUGGAAGCUAGCUCUUUCCGUCUUCAAUGGGAAAUUUGCAAAGGUAGUUUAUCUUUCCUUAAGGUGUUAACUUUCUAUGUCGUCAAUGAGGUCGUGUGUUUAUUUGGUUUAUGUACUUUGAUGAGUGUUUUUGAUUACUUAUUUUGCACAUUUGGGCAUGUAUAUCUUCUGAUGACGAACUUCUUCUUUUUGUUCAGCGAUUUACUUUUUGGACCUUGAGAUAUUUGAGUUUUAUCUCAUUCGAGUUGUUUAUCUGAAUUUAUUUACAUGCUGGCAGUACAAUGCUCUGAUACAAUUUGUUCAACAAAAAAUAUACACGUACACCAGUAUUAAGCUUGGCUUUGUUUGUUCUUUUCAGAGUCUAUUCACUUGAAAAUUACUAAUAGUGUCUUCAUAGUCCCAUCUAGGUGUGCCUCUUGUCGUCUCAAAGUUAGCUCCAUUUUCACUGUAGAAUGGCUCGAAUCCAGGGGAUUGGAUCAAAGUUUCACAUAUGUUUCAGUCAAAUGUUCCAAUCUUUUGGCCAGUGACACUAUGUACCCUUCGAGUCUAUCCGUCCCUCUCUCUCUCUCUCUCACACACACACACACAAACACACACACUCCCCGCCAAACCCCCCCACCACCAUCCACACACCCAUACAUGAAGAGGUUAAAAAAAAUUUGACACUUAGGCCUAGGCUUAUCUGCUCUUUCUAUUUCGAGCUGUGGCGGGAAUUCAUAAUGUUUACAAUCAUCAGUGAGGGAUGCAGCAACAUGGUCAUCACAAGAGUAAUACUGUGUGACAACGAGGACUUCUGUUUGAAUUUAUUUGAUUAUAGCUAGAAAUGAGGACUUUAAUCGGCGAUCAGUAUCAGUUUUCUUUCUGUUCUUGCUUCACCACAACUGAAAUUUAGAUAAAUAGUUAUUCAAUUCUCACCCGUUACCUACUAUUCAUAUUGCUAUUCGAUGCAAUGGCCAGGUUUCUGUUGGUAAUGCUCUUGAUCAAGAAACAGGUGCCAAAACUGGCAUAAAUAGGGCAGAGGAAAGAGCUGGUGAAAUCAAGUACUCAAGCCAUUCUAUUGAGGAAGUUGCAGAAAUGUUCCUUGGUACUCUGUCUGCAUACGAGGGCAAGGUUAUUUUUUCUAUCCCUCUUAAUUUUUCUUGAUUCCUGUUAUUUUGCUUGUUUUUUCUGGAAUAAUCUGAUGAUGAUUGCUGCAAAAGUAAACAUAUGGUUGCCGGAAUGGGUUUAUCACGCACGUAACGAAAUGGUUUUGAGUAGAUUAGUUUGAAUAAAAUACCAUCGUUUGAUAUCAUAGUUGAUGGUUAAUCUUGAGUUGCACACGCUCCUCUAAAUGUCUACAUAGCAAAGUCAAAAAAAUUGUUUGCAUGUGAGAAGAUGCAUUAAAAUAUUCUAGCCUUAUAAAAGCAAACAUGCUAUCCUAACGAUGAGUCUGCUCCUUUCAUAACUUAUAAUUAUUGAAGGAAUGAACUAUAUUCAAUCUCUUUAGCAAAUAAAUGACCUUGCUUAUUCUCUUCUUGCUAAAAGGCUAGAUUUUGACCAUACUGGAUUAUGAAGUUUUCCAUAAAGAAGUUAAUGGAGAUAUCCUUUUCCUACGUACAUGUACCUUAUCAAAUCUGUGUGUGGGUUCCAACAUUGCUCUUGACGUGGAUAGUUUUGUUGUUCCCGAAAGAAUGCUUUUGUCUGUUAUUUUGAAUGCAUGGAUUUGUUUGAAACUCCAUCUUGGAUUUGGGAUUAAAUGACAGUCGUAAAAUUAUUAUCUUUAUUGAUCUACAGAGAAAGUUGUCUUGCCAGGGAAAUGGAGUUCUUAAAAAUUUGAGGCCUUGGAGUGAAUACAUAUAGGAGUUUCUUGGUUGUUUAUCAAUGUGAUGUGUCGGAAUUAUCAGUCAGUUGGUCAAGCCGUAUUUCUCCUGAACUCCAGACACAGAUAGCUCUUCACUGGGUUUAGUCCAAACGAACAUAUUUAAAUCCUUUGUUCCAUUGACCAUGAAUUCCACCCUAUCAGAGGAAACAUACAUGAGCACCGUUAAAUCCGUAAAAUGAAGUCUUCCUAGCACAGAGUGAUAAUGUUAGCCCACCCAACAGUUCUUGUCUAUCCUCUAACAAACGGGCCAUUCUAAAAUAAUCAUAUUGUAGUCAUUUUCUUCUUGAGUCCCUUGCUAAUCAUGGUCAUUAUGGUUGUUCCUUACGUCUAAUAUAUUUAAUGGAAUGACUAAAUAAUAAAGAUAAAGUUGCUUUUAAGAACAUAAAUGCGUAAUUAGUAUUAUUUAACCUUCUUCGUCGCUUUUCUAUUUGCGGUGUGUUCUUUUCAUACAGAAUGGUAUACAGAGUUAACAGAUCCCAACCAGUGAAACUGUAUUUAUGGCUAAAUAAACUGUUGAGGGUAGUUUUAGAUCUGAACUAAGAUAAACUCGUCCAGGGUGUUUAUUAAAACCGUUAAAUUCGAAUAUGGUAAAGUACCCCCGUGCUGGGGGAUUACUCUUAGAAACUAAAAUGUUAUUUUUUGUCGUUCUGUUGUCUUUUAAUAAGGUUUGGUUGACUUUGUUAAAAUACACUCUUUUCUCAAAAAAGUAAUCCAUUACCUCACAAUUUUUCUCAUUACAUGACAUAUUGUAAUGUUGUCUGAUUAUUUCAACGUUUAACUGGAAUCAUUUAUUUCAUCAUCCUAAGAACGAACUAAUCAGACCUUCUUUUCAAAUGAAAAAAAGUGACCAAUUCCUGCCUAUAUCUACUUUUGGAUGAAAAAUAUCGAAGAUUGGCACCAGAGGUGGAGGGAAGACGGGGAAAUAAGUGUUUCGCUUCUUGCUGCAUACUUCCAUUCAAUACAAAUUGCCCCUGGUCCAAUUUCCUGCUCUGACGUGAUCAAGUUUAGGUUACAGGAAGGGGGAAUGGAGUUGUGUGUGUGUUUUUUUUUUGGGAAAAAGGCAUUUAUUGUACUAUUCUUUUGAUUUUAGCCUUCUCAACUAAAAAUCUUAGGCAGAUAUUUUAAACUUUUAAAUGUAUCCGUACCAUUUUACCCAUUAUCAGCAUUUCCCCUCUGGCUAACUUGACCCAUCUGAUCAUAGUGUGGAAGUAAUUGGACGUGCUCAGCCGGGUUGCCUGUCCCCCUUCAGAUUAUGUGAUUGUGAAUUAGAUCCUCCUAGGACUCCCAGAAGGCAGUAAAUAAGAACAGAGAUUAAAUAAGGAGAAAUACAGGAAGGACAAUCACAGUUGUGAACAUUGAAUUAAUGCGGUUUCGAUAUCCUCCAUUCAUUACCAAAUUAAACCUACCAUGCUAGAUGCGUAGUACAAGAAAGGAGAAAUAAAGAGAAACAAAGGAAGGACGAUCACAAACGUGAAAUUGAAUUAAUGCGGUUUCGAUAUCCUGCCUCCAUUACUAAAUUAAGCCUACCAUGCCAGAUGAGUAGUACAAGAAACAAGGGAGGAUGGAUUCCUUUAAAUAUGUGAAGGCUAAGGCAACACACCAAUGGCCCAGUAAAGUCACAAAUAAUAAAGUUCGGACGAAACAGGGGGUUGAAUUUACCGCUCGGGAAAACAGAAUCUAAACCUCAACAUCUGCAGCUAGCCCUGGAUCUUCAGUUUUGUUGGUUUUGAACCCUGAAACAUAAGAACUCACAGAAACCAGGCUAAGAACCAAUUGAAGUUGAUUAUUUAUAUGCGCCACAUUUUUUUAUGGAACUGGUGGGAACACCCUUGUCCUGCUAGAAUGUUGUUACUAGCCAGAAGCAAAACUUGGGCCUACAAUGACCAUUUUCCUUUAUUAGAAGUUUGAUCUGUUUGAAUAUGACGCAUGAACUUGAGUUUUAUCUUUGUUACGUGCUCAAGGCAUUAGAUGUCUUCUUGCCAUUUCCAUGCAUUGAGAUAUCAGGUGUCUUUAAACCUGUUUCAACAUUGUACAACCCAUUCUAGUCGGGAUAAAAUUUCUUGUUGUUGUGAUUUUUCUAUAUGAGGCCGUUUGAUUUGUGUAUCUAAACGUUUUUUACAUCGUGGUCUACUUUUUUCAUAUAGUGACAGCAGUUUAAGUUCCUUUUCUUGACUCAGGUUCACACAACAUUUAGAGAUUUUCAAGAGUCAAAUGUUCUUCGUCCAUACAUGAUUAAUGCUAUAAAAGAUGUAGCUAAAGCAUGCCAAUCUCUCGGAGUGAAAGAGUCUGCUCCACGACGUGCAGGUAUUUAUGUAUCUUUAUUGCUUGAAGACUGACAAUCAACUCGAUACUCAGUGCAACUUAAUUGAUUUUGGCAGUUAAAUCUUUACGUGCCCUUCAUUUUGAGAUUGCAAAGAUUUAUGUAUCAAGGCUGUGCUCAUGGAUGCGGGCAACAACUGAGGAGAUAACCAAGGAUGAAACAUGGAUUCCUUUGUCUAUUUUAGAGAGAAACAAAUCACCAUAUAUGAUUUCUUGCUUGCCCUUGGCUUUCCGUAGCAUUGCUGUGUCCGCCAUGGAUCAAAUCAGUGUGUAAGCUCUACUUGCUUGUUUCCUCCCCUUACAUUAAUUAUUGGGCUCAUUAGGCUUAUUAUUUUUGUAAAUUUGUGCUAAUCGGUAUUCAUUAUAAUACAUCUGUUAUAGUACUUUUUUUCGUCAUGUUUUGUUCAUAACCUUGUUUAAAUGGUAACCUAAUAGUCAUUCUAUAUUUAAUGACCAGGUUAGCCAUCAUGCUGUCUCUUUGUGAUGAAAUGAAAUCCAUUAUGGAUGUAUAGUCAUCAUGGGCUGCUGCCUCUAUUCUACCUGUGCUAAAUCGUAUAAUCUGGUUUGGUCUUUGAGUUGCAAAGAUAUGCUGAGUGAGGACUGUGCAAGUCAGUCCCCUUUUACCAAGAUCUGGUCACUUGUAUUCACCUCUGUCAGUUUCAACCUGUGCCAUUUUGCAUAAGUUGCAGCACUAUGGCCCAAUCCUGUUUAAUUUAGGUCAGGCUCAUUCGAAUCCGAACAGUACAUUCAGAUGAUGCCGGGUUUUAGUACCAAACAAUAUCUGCACACUAAUUAAUCUCCGAAAAAUCCUCCGUUUUUUUGGAGACCACCAUAUUAACCAAGCAUUGGUUGAUCUACAACUUGGAAACAUCAAAUAAUAUUUUUGCAAUCUAAAGGGGAUUUUUGAUCAAAUUCUUCCAAUGUAUGCUGUCUCAUAAGAACCCUUCCUAUUUUAGAAGUAAAAUCUAUUCGUAGGCUUUUUUUGUCAUGCGAUAUAUGAAAUGGCUAGACGAUUUUUAAAUGUUUUGGGCAUCUUGGAUCCAUUGAUUUGAAAGAGAUCCCAAUAGAUUCAGGAAGUUUUUGAAAAUUUUAAUUUUAAUUUUAAAUUCUUCCUAUUUAAAGUUUUUGAAAAUUUUAAUUAUAUAUAUAUAUACAUGGAUGUGUUGCCUGCAUGUAUUUGGCCCUUGACUAUUCAUCUGCACGUGAAAAGCAUGAAGUGGCAAACACCAGGUUUCGAUUUUUGGCGUAGCCUUAAGCUUACAUUUACAUGGUGCCAAUGGAUACCUUCUCUGUUUAAUUAAUCAGGUACUCUGUCAAUCAUCUCUUCCUGUCAUUUGUAUCAUAGGAUUCUAAUAGGUGUCAAUGGUAUUGGAAGAAUAGCAGUGAAUUACUGUUAGAUGCUGUGUGACUAGUGGAUCACAGCCGCGCAUCAUUGUUUAAAUCUGUUCUUUAAUCACCUGGCUUUCUGGUUUUGUAGCAGCCGUGCAAUGUAGAACUUUGGACAUUCAUUCGGCAAAAUUUAUAUUAUGUUAACCGUCUUAGAAAACUGGUCAUUCUACACAUCCCUAAAAAUUUAGUUUAUAAGACAUUGCUAUAAUGGACUUUUUUUAGACAUUACUUUUCUUCAUUUUUGAAGAGUAUUGAACACCCAAUUGAUGAUUGGCUGAUGCAUGUGUACUGGUUUCUCACUUUUUAAGGACAAAACGUCUUUGCGUCCAAGAAAAUACAUAUCUAACUUAAUGUUCCCCUGUUAUUGACGAUCUUUUUGUCUGUAUGACUUUUAUUUGUAGCCUACCUUUUGCUCCUCAUGGUGUAACGGGCGUAAUUCUUUAUUCUUACUUAGUGAUAUAGAAGUCUGACAACCCUAAAUUCUUUUAAUAUGACAAUCCUAAAAUUCUUUUAAAGUUGUUUUCGGUUUUUGUCAGGAGUUUUAGCAUUGUGGUCACAUUCCUGUCUCUAUGCCUUUCUGCUUCUUGAAUAUUGAAGCUGAGAGUUUAUGGUUUUCUUUAUCCUCUGCUGUAAGAUUUGCUUCUCGUUUUGAUGUUCUCCUUUUGCUGUAGGACGAUUCAGAUUCUAAGGAAUGAGGCAACAAAAUCGCACGAGAUGUUCACAGAGGUUCAGGACAUUCAAGAAUCUGUGAGAAGUGCAUUCUUAGGCUGUUUUCUUGAUUUUGCGGGUACCACUUUUCAAAACCCCAAUCAUUAAUGUUAUGUAUUGGAUUUGACCAUUAGAAUGCUACAUUGAUAUACUUUUGGGCCUACGUUCUCCAAUCAGGCUAUCUGGAGCAGAUGGGAGGUGAACUGUCUAACAGUGCAUCAAUUAAAGAAAGUUUACAUCUGGAAGAUAGAUACUUGUGCGAACCGGAAGGUCAUGCUAGAAGCUCUGUCUCUGGUCCGUAUAAAAGGCUGCUAAUUGUCUUGAGCAAUGUCGGCUAUUGCAAAGAUGAACUUUGUGGCGAGUUGUAUGGAAAGUACAAACAUAUAUGGCUGCAAUCUAGGUAUGCUUCUAUGAUGGAACAUUGUCGCUUGCAUUUGAAUCUGGAAUUUUGUGCAAAAAUACUGAGUUUCUAAGUUUAAGAGAUCGAAAUGCUUUAAAAAUCGAUGUGAGAAAGUUGUAAUUUAAUUGGUUGAUUCUUUGCAGUUUGAAACUGGUUCAUAACUUCACUCAGACAAUCAGAACUCUUUCGACGUUUAUCAGCUUUAGUGUAUUACGUAAUUAAAUGUCUACAAUAUGGUUUGCUAUGUUAGUGUCAAAGUCAGUGCUGCUGCAUGAAAGUAACUAUUGGUUUUUUGGGAUUUACAUGGUAUUUUUUCAUUCCAAGAAAAAAAUUCAUUUUAUUUUGUCUUCUUAGAUGCACAGAGCUUGUGCAAUGCGAACUAAAACUUUGAGAAAUGUUUUAAGGUCAGUUCCGGUUUUACUCACGUUAAUGUUCAUCUUCAUGUUCUCCAUUUUUUCCACGGUAUUAGGUAUAUUAGUGAAGGUACGAAUUUUCCUCAUUAUGGAUUCCACGCUGUCAGUUGACCAACUCGACGCAUUGAAUUGGGAGCUAGGUUUCCCUUGUUUCUGUCAGAAAAUGCAUGUAGGUUAAUCUCUCUUCAGUUUGCGAAGAUACUGCUGUUUUCUUGAUCUACCCUAUUGGUCAAGGAAGUUUUUCUGAUGGUUUGUCUCUAGGAAUUUCUGGUACAUUCAACUUCAUAAUUGUAUUCAAGACAGAACACAUCCUUAUGCACCCAUUCCACAUGUUAGGCGUAGCUGGUGUAUUCUGUCUGUCCGUCUUUUUUUGAUUUUUUUUAUCAUUGAUUCGAAUAAUUUUUUUUCAUGCAUAAGUAUUAUUUCAACCUCUAGUUAUUAAACUUUUGUGAAUGUACCCAAAAGAGGUGAUAAGUAACUUCUCUUUUAAAAAAAUCAAAUCAUACUAGUAAGUUCUGUUUGGAUGGUUCGGAAACAACUGAAACUCAGUUUAGACUCAUGGAAGUACUGUAAUACUAGUUCGAAUGUUGAACUAGUCAAUCAAGCUAUUGUAAGUGAGACUUGAGUAGUUUAUGUUAACCAUAGUGUAACUUGUAAUGAUGUGGAUGCAGAAAUUCGUGACUUCCUGAUUCUGUAAAAUGUUCUCGUUUUCAAACUUAAUGUUCUGACAAAAAUAAAAGGGGUAGAAUUAGACACAAUUCGCAAACCCCCUUUUCAGCUGUUUUUAUGUAGAAAAGUCAGUUCAUCCUAAGACCUAAAAUGGGCAUAAAGGGCUCAACUACAUCUAAUAGUGGGCCUAUUGGAUGCAUAUUCUCAUGAACCAUCUAACAUCUGUUGCAUUUAAUUAGGACAUGAUUUUUUGUUUCGAACACUAUUUUGUCAUUUUUCCUAUUGGUUUUGCUUAGUGUGAUUUAACCGGGAUGAAGAUGAGUUUGUAGGCAGCCUUCCAAAAAAAUUGGCUCUUUUUCACUCUCUGUUUUAUUUUCUGAAAUCUGUUAACACUGCAGGGAA
rnacentral:lncRNA from 1 species